GGGGGAGACCGAGGGAGUUAGAAGAGAAAGGGCUAAGCAACGGAAAGGCAAAAAGAAAAAAGAGGAGAGAGCUGAGAGCAAAGGGGGGCGGACAAGGAUAGAUUAGCAAAGAAAAGACUAAGGGGGAGCUAAAAAACGAGAGAAAGAGAAAGGGCGGCGACGGGGCUUGAAAAAAAAAGAAGGGCGACGAAGCUUGAAAAGGAAAGGGGGACUUCGUGGUGAAAAACAACGGAGGCCGAGAGGGGUUUCGGCUUGAAAAGAAAAGCAAGGGAGGUCUGGGGCGUGAAAAGGGGAACCAGGCGACAGUGGAGAAGAAAACAAAAGAAGAAAGAAAAGAACGAGCAAAAGAAAGGAAACUAGAGGGGAGAAGAAAGAGACUUCGGCGAGGAAAAGAAAAACGAGGAAAAAACAGAGGGCGGUGGAUGGAGGGGCUAAGGGAGAUUGGGAGUGGCGGCUAAAAGAACGAAGCAACAAAGAAAGGUUGAAAAGAAGCUUCGGGCAGUAGAAAGCUUGGGCGAGGGAACAAAAGAAAACAGAGGAGAAAGGUUUCAACAAGAAACUAGAGUCAAGGAAAAGCAGAGGAGCAAAGCCGCGGAAAAACAGGGUAAGGAAGGUUCAUCGGAUGAGCUGCCGAAACCGCUGCCGCUCAUAGUCGCCACCACCUCACCGAACCCACCAGAAUCUUUCCUUGCUAUCUGCGAAAUUUUGCCAAGCAAGAGCACUGUGAGUUUUUUUUUUUCCUCUCUUUAAAUUUCAGUUCUUGUCAAGUUUUUGAAAUGGGUCUACCGUGGCAUUAUUUAGUGCAAUUUUCCUGUUAAUUGGCCUUAAUUUCUGAAUACACAUGAUGCAUACGUUGAUUGGGCUGAAUUUCUUUGUUUCUGACAAAUUUUUGGGCUAGUUACAGCAUUGAUUGAACAAAGAAUCAUUAAAAAUUUUUACGCUCUUUCGUUGCUUGACAAAAUGCUCAACUAAAAAAUUCCCCUUGAAUGAUGACUUGUGCGGUGAGUUAAAAUUCCAUUUCAGACCUGGUCGAAAAUUGUACAAAUUGUGGGCUUCUGUAAUGGUUCUGUUUGUUUAGCUAAUAAGGUUGAUUGUGCCUAUAGCCGACAUGCUUACUUGCUUAACCCUAUUCUUAGGAAGUUUAAGGUGCUGAAAUUUGAGUUUUCUUGUUAUUGUGAUUGGACGGAAAAGAACAUCCUGUUUUUUUUAGAAUUUGGGUUUUGUGAGCAAGAUAAUGAUUUCAAUGAUUGGUUGCAUGCGUUUUGUUGAUUGGGUUGAAAUUUCUGGUUUAUCUGAUAAUGUUGGGGCUGGCCGUGACUUCAUGGGGUGACAAUCAUUGAAGUUCUUAAUGCCCAUUUUCUGUUUCAUAAAAGGUCCGAAUGAAAAUGAAAAAAUAAGUAAAUCUUUUGUAGUCCAUGCGCAUUGGAAGAUGGGCAGGGGAUUUAGUCUUGUUGAUUUCGCUGGGUUUGCAUAUAAAAAAAACUCUCAUCAGUUCAAUUUUAGUUAUGGCAUUCAUGCAAUAGUCGCAUAGCCUUCCCCCUUGUCUUUUGUUUGGUUUUCAGAAUUUCGUAAAAGAGUGCAUUUGAUGGCAAAAGUUAUUAAUCGAAAAUUGGAAGGAACUUGGGGUUUUGAUGUUAACUGUAUUCUGUUUUGCUUUCGCACUUGAUUCACUCUAAUUGUUGGGAGUUUAAUUUGAUUCCAGUUGAAGCUGUAUGUUUUGGUUUGUAGUGUAGAUUCAUUUGUCAAUCUUAUUAGCAUGACUUGGUUUUGGGCAUAAGUUGCUUCGCUUAUAAUAAAAAUGGGUGUUACUGGUUUUAAGAAAAAAAGUGGCAGAAAGUUUAGUGACAGUAAGCUUAUUCGCAUGUUGCAUGGAAGACUUUCCAAAAUUGCAUUCUUAGCUCAUCCAUUUUUGUUUUGUUUUGUGAUUUCGCCCCAGAGCUUUUAGAACUUCAUGUUUCGACCCCCCAAACCUUCAUAAUUCAUUCAAUUAAGUCCGAUGCUGGUUGCAUUUGAAUCCCUCAAAUUUCCCCUAUCCUGAUAUUGCCUAAAACCCUUUUGUAAUUAAACCAAUUUCGCCCUUUUUAAUCUUAAUCAUUCUUUUAUUUUUCUUUAAGUAGUCUUUUGGGUAGAUUAAUUCUGGAUUUAGAUCAUAAUUGUGGCUUGAUUAUUUUAGUUGAUUUGCUAAUCUUGUUGGGUUUAGUUUUGAUUUAGGUUGUGGGCAAUAAUAUUUGUUUGGAUUUGUAAAAGUGGAUUUAAUUUGUUUUGUUUGGGUUUCUGGUUUGGGCUUAGGAGGUAAAGCCCACUCUUUUGGUUGGGUUUGUUUUAUUGAUAAGUAGAGGCUAGCCCAUAUGUAGCCUCUGGGCUUUGCGGCAGGCUGAAGGGAUCUUUGGCCCAAAAAUAGACAAAAGUUGGCCCAGUGGCCUUGUCUCUUAAGAGACAAGAAACGAAAUUGCAAAUCAGCCCUUGCAUUUUUUCUUAACUAUACUGUGGCUCCGGAAGCUUUCCAUUUCUUUCAAUUCGGUCCCUAACUUAAUUGCAAAUAGGCUCCUAAACUUUAUUUUCUUUAAUUUUGACCCCAAAGCUUUUGUUAAUUUUUGCAAUCAAGUCCUUUCUUCUUUUGACUUCUUAAAUGUAGGUUGUUUUUAUGAUUUAAUUUCAUGAUUCAUUUUUAUCUUUAUGAUUGUUUUAUUAAUUAAAGUGGUGCCUUGACCUUUUUCUUUGUAUUUUGGAGGACAAAUAAGUGAUUUCAUUUCAUUGGGGCCCCAAUUCAAGGGAGGUACACCCUAAUCCUUUAUUUCUUACUUUAUUUGAUUCUAUGUGCCCUAUGUGACUUUACAUGUUUGAUUGCAUGCCUCUUGAAUGUUUGUUUUAUUCAUUUCAUUUAUUUAUUUGCUUUAUUGGCUUUGUAUAUUUAUUUUAGUUCAAUUCGAUUAUUUGAAAGGCAAUUUAAUGCCAAGGUUGUAAUAGUUAGGUUAUUAUAUCAUUUUAUUUAAUUCAUUCCCCCCUUAGAUUGUAGUAGGGCUCCCCAAAUGUAAUAGUUAGGGCUUUAUUUGCUUUAUUGAGUGUUGUGUGAUUUGCAUGCUUACGUGCUAUGUGUUACCGCUUUCUUAGGGCCUUGCAUCUAGAUAUUAUGCUCACGUGCUAUGUGCUAUAUGUGAUUUAGGUGUUUACUUGCUUUAUUAUGUUUUUAUUUGAUUGUAACAAAUGCAUGUUCAACGCUAGUUGUGGCCCCCUUUCCCGAAUCUACACUAGUCCAAUGCUAGUUCUGGCUCUUUGUUCCGAUUUUUCACUAGUCCAACGCUAGUGAGAAAGUAGAAGCAUGGGCUAGUCCAACGCUAGACCCUUAGAAGCCCUUCGCACGUUAGAUCAUGAUUGUAUGACUACAUUACAUUCUCAUGCAUAUUUUUUCACCUUUUAGGGUCUUUUAUCAUUUUUGCAUGACAUUCCUCCUUACACGUAUAUCCCAUUCCCCAUAUUUUCCCUUAUAUGUAUAUUACUUACCCCUCUGCAUGAGACGUGACAUUAGACUUGCAUUUUCAUUUAAGAAAAUAGAAACUAGGUUAGAUCAUUUGCGUGCUAGAUUAGGAAAACCCCUUGGAUAUGGAAUAUGGACGAGUUUGUCUUUCUACCCUUAGCACGUUCGUAUUCCCUCUAUUAAAGGGAACAUUAAGUCACGAACAUAAGUCCCCCGCACCCAUCAUGAUGUAUUCUUUUAGGUCAUACACAUUUGUAUAUUAUUAUUCUUACUUUUUCUUUCUUUCGAGUCUCAUGACUUGCAUUAUUCGUGACUUCUUCGAAGAGUCUUUAUUGGGCAUCACAAUUAAUGUGAUUGGUACCAAAUAAGCUUUGAAAAUACAUUUCGACCUCUCGACACCCUCCUAGGUCUAGGGUAUGCAUUCAUAUAGUACAUCCAAAUGUGAUAAAUCUUUAGGUUAAAAUAGGAAAAAUCUUUGACUAAAUCGCGCAACUAGCCUUGGUUAGGUUGAAAGGGUGCCUUGGAUUUUUAUCCUUGCCUUCCAUUUCUUCAAAUGUGACUCUCGAAUCUUUUUUUUUUUUUCGUAGACUUGGAAUCGUUUAAAAAGGUUUUUUCUACUUUUUCUUUAAAAAUUCAUUUUUUUAGGUGACUUGGUACACCUUAACUCUAUACCAAGUGGCGACUCCAUUUUUCAUUAAAACCCUUUUUAAACUAUAUUUUGGGUCAAAUCGUCGCAUUUUCAAGUCCUAUUUAGACCCAAAUAUUUUUCAUUUUCUUUUUAAAUCAAAAAAUCAUUUUUCUAAACUAAUUUAUUUUCUUAUAAAAAAUGGGGCGCGACAGUUCCUCCCGCUAGUUAUACAAGAAAAGAAAGAGGACGACUUCAUUAAGUUGAAGCAAGGAUUACUAAGUGUGGCCGAGUAUGAGGAGCGGUUAACUAAACUUUUCAAAUUUACCCAUGAACUAGUGAUCACGGAGCGCAAAAGGAUAAGGAGAUUUAUUCAAGGAUUAAACAUAGAAAUCCAAGAAUCUCUAGCAACCACCCAGAUCACUACUUUUACGGAUGCUUUGGAUAAGGCACAGAAAGUAGAAAUUGCUAAGUCUCAAUCUAAGGUUUUUCAUGCUAGAAAGAGGGGUAACCCAAGCGAUACACCUGAGUAGUCCGAGAGAUCUUUCCAACCCCUUAAAAUAGGAAAAGGGGCUGGAGGAGUGAAGAUGUCUAAAAAACUCGAAGAAACUCCAUCAAGCAAAAUCCCGCCAAAAGAAAAUCAGAGUAGGCGAGAUCGACGAAAGGGGAAUUCUUAAAUUAGUCAAGCCGUGACUCCUCACGUAACUUGUGGAUAUUGUGGCAAGAUUAACCACACUGAAGCCGAGUACCGGAGGAAGUAAGGAAAAUGUCUGAAGUGCGGUAGUACCGAAUAUAAGUUUUCGAAUUGCCCUAAACCUUUUAAGGGAGGAGAAAAUUCUCAGCAACCUGCUAGGUCCACUGCAAAUCAGUUGAAUGCCAGAAGGAGUGAUUAAUGCUAAUGAUUGUAAGAGAGAUCCAAAUAACGGAAAGUCUACGAGUAAGGAUGGAUCUGACUCCACUCGACAAAUAGGGAUUGUAAUUUUAUCCUAAAUUAGACCGACACUUUUAGAGGUUGUAAUUUUGUAUAGGAGAUGACAUCCUUUUGUUGUUUUGUGUAUUGCAACUUAGUGCGUUUCGAUAUAAUUUUGUUGUUCCCCUUUUUUUUUGAAAUCAUUUGAUGAAGUCAUCCUAACUUGAUAUAACUAUUAUGAUCUUUUAUAAUAUAUGAAAAAUCUGCUUUGCUUUAAUUGAUUUUACAGCUUAUAUAUAUAUUUAUUUAAUUAUUGUUCCACACCUUUAAACCUACGAUAAGAUCAUGAACGGCACCUGAAAAUAGUUUUAAAAAAAAUCCCGAGAGUGUAGCAACUUUUGUUAAGUUCUAUAAAUGUGAGUUUCGAAUGGGAGGAGUAGGACUUGAUGAAAAUUGUUAUAUAAAGAAAGGCCAGUAAAGAUUUCUGAUCGAAAAGUGAAGGAGUUAAGACACAAACAUAUCCUUCUAUUGAAAAUUUUAUGGAGAAAUCGUAGAAUGGAGGAAGACAUGGGAAGUAGAAGAGGAGAUCUAGGUGAAAUAUCCAGAAUUGUUCCUAAAUCAAAGUAUGAAUUUCGAGAACGAAAUUCCUUUUAAAGGGGGAAAGAUGUGAGAACCCGAAUUUUUAUUUUAUUUUACUUAUUUUUAUUUCGUUUUACUGGCUUAUUUAAUUAUUUAUUCACCCAUUUAUUUUGAAUAACUUAUUUCAAUCAUUUUAAAUCCAUUUACAUGGAAUGAUGUCUCGCUUAUAUUAUUAAAACGUCUUGUUAGCAAAUUUAAUUUUUCGGAGACACGUUUAGUAAGGAAUAAAAAGUACAUAUUUUUCGAGACAAUAUUCGAUUCGAGAGUGCAAUUAUCUUGAAAAAUAAAGGAUGAUCAGUAGUAGACUAAGAAAAGUUAAUUGAGGGAUUAGAGGUGAGUGAGUUCAAAUUAAGCUUUUACCGCUCGCGCAUCCAUAGUUUCUCGAUAACCGUGCCAGUACAACUAAGUGAAGAUUUCAAAAAUUAAUACUAGACUACUAAGAGUGAAUAAUUAUAGAGUUAAAGGAAGUACCUUGAAGAAUUAGUGCAUUAGUGUAUCAAACCCGAGAGAAAACGGUAGUACGAAAUCCGCGCGCGACAGCUAUUGGAAGUUAAUUUUUUGCACCCAACUUAAGGCAACUUUCCCUCCAAUCUUCCCUCACAAGCUAACCACUCAAACCCUCAUCUUCUUCCUCUCCAUUUAGCUGACCAGCAAAGAAAGAAAAGAAAGAAAAUCUCCAUUUCCUUUAGCUUCCAUUUUGUCUACAAAUCAUCAUCCAACUUUCUAGUUUCUUGAAGAUUCAUCCUAGUUUGGAGUAAGAAGCAAUCUUAUGGAGUUUCUUGGAGAGUUGUUGGUGGUAAAAUUCUAGUUUCAUCUAGGGUUAAAGAGGUAACCUUUCAUUUUCUUUAAUUUUUCCAUUUGUUCAAAGAUUAACCGUUAAUCUUCAUGGGUUUAUGUGACAGCCCCACCUUCCCCUAAGGCGAACCAAAGGGGUUAGUGGACUGCCUGCCCAACUCUCGUCAGGACUAACGGUGCAGUUUAGAGCGAUCUAUUGCGUUCCGGAACUUACAAACGCGCGUAAACAAGUCAAAAUGUCAAAAUACAAAAAAAAAAAAAAGAAAUCCGGAGUCGGCCAUGAGUAGUAACCAACCCGUCAGAACCCAACCAAAUAUCAAGCAAACAUUCAUAUCUUGAACUUUAGUAUUUACAAUCUAAAGUGGCAUACAAAAGUAUUCAAAAGUGGAUACAUGUAUGGUUUGCCAAAACAAAAGAAAAACGGACCCAAAAGUACAUUUAGGGUUUCAAUAAAUGAGCUAUACAAAGAUAUGUCCAACUAGCUCAAUUCGGCAACCAAAUAUCAAUUGCAGUCCAAAAGUAUUUAUUUUUCUGUAAGGAAAAUAAAAGGAAUAGUGUGAGCUAAUUGCCCAGUGAGAUAAUACUACUCAAGCAACCAAGUUCAUAGAUGCAUCAAGUUUUUCAGUCCAAUUCAUCAAAAGUAAAUAAAGACACACAUCAAUAAUGAUGAUAAAAGGAUACGGGCGGCUCUCAAGAACCCUUUUCCUCGUUUGCAUUCUUGAUCGGAUCUCAUUGACUCUCCGUCAAUGUUUAAAAGUAACCAACCGUAGACUUCACUUUACUUCCAUUCCUUCCACCUAACAUUCCCCUACCGGGCCCGAACUCCAAACACUUGCACUAUGGUAUUACUCGAGUAUACCGGAAUCGAGAGUCUCUCAUACUACAAGAUUCCAUAUAACCUUUCCCCAAGGCUCAUUAAUUGUUACGACCAAACCCUCGCCGGCUCGAUUCAAUCAACUACCAAUGGGGUUGAGCUCAAUGAUAACAAUCAUGGUCGUUGGAUACUCGUCCAAACGACACCAAGUCAUGUACUUUCAUUUCAUAUAACAUGAGAAAUAAGUGAGAGUGAUAAAGUACACCCUCACUUCAAUCAAUAUCAAUGGUACAAAAAACAUUUAACUCAUCAAGUUCAAGUAUCAAAGCCAUAUAGUAACACACAAGUGAGUAGUACACUCACCAAGUUUGCAAAUGAUAUUUCAUGCAACCCCGUCAAAGGAGCGUCGUGAACCACCGUCACGCUCUAAAACAUGCAAACAAGUACAAUGAGACUCGAUAACGAGUCAUAAACCAAUGCCAAGUAUUACCAAAAUAAGGUUCCAUAAGCAUACAUAAGCAUUAGAGGAAACCAGAAAAAUCCGGAAAUGGAACUAGCUUUAACCCUGAAAAAAAUAAUUUUUGAUGUCAUUUUCCGGUUUUAGUGCCAAUGGCACUACAAUUAUUGGAUGAAGGUACAAGACCCACCAUUUCGAAGCUAAAAGAUAGGGCUACAAUAUUACAGAAGGUCACUCAGUCCAGUUUUGAGUGUAACCAGGUCAAAAAUGCAAUCUACUACACCAGAACUGGAAAAAUAGACUCACAAAAUGUAUUCUGGUUCAAACAUCAUUAGUCAGCCUACCUAAGUCCAAAUCCAGAAAUUUCAAAGCCAUCCGAAAGCUAAGGAACAGGGGUACAUUUCAUCAGAAGACCUCAACAACCAAUUCAGAAGCAUUCUCAACCAAAAUAACCCAUUACAGAAGCAAUUCUCAAUUUCGGGUAAAACCAGUGCAGCAAGGGUAAUUCCAUCUUUUCUCAAGCCACGCUACUCUAAAAUAUUGUGCAGACAUCUCUAAAAUAUCAUUCCCUACAACUUUCAUGUUUUAACCCAAGGCUAAUUCGGCCUCUAACUAUGAGCUACAAAACCGGGCAGAAUGUAAUUCAAAGAACCCUAACUUUCCAAUUUUUCUUCCAAAACAGAAAUUGCUUGCAAUUUAUCAUUUUUUCCACCUUCUAGCUUCCUUAAAUAUCAUUUCCAAUCAUCAUACAUGACCACAUAAUCAUAUUCAUAUGAAAAUAAAAAAAUCCCCAAUAAUUACAAAACUUCAUCAUUUCAACCACAAAUCAAGAUAUAAUCCAUAAAAUUGCAUCUUAUACUACCACUAAUCAUGGAUUAAACAUCAUUAGAGGGAGGAGAGGGGUCCUUCUCAACUUACCUUAGCAAGACAAGAAAGAGAGCAACUAGUCCUCUUAGUUUUCCAAGUAACUCCACAAAACAACUCACAAACACUCCCUUAAGGUUUUCUAUGGAACAAAAACAAGAGUAGAUGGUUGAGUGAUUGGAUUUGAGCAAGAGGGAAUCAAGAAAUUGAAGAGGUUUUCUUUCUUUCCUUCCUUGAGAGAGCUGGCCACUUGAGCUAGGAAAUGGAGCAAUUUUUGGUAAAUUUUUAGUUUAUUAAGUCAAAUGGUAAGACAUGGAAUAGUAGUCAAAAGUUUCUACCAACCCUAUGGUGACACUUGUCACCAUCAUUAAUGCAUCUCUAUCUUUUUGUUUCCUCUCACACCAAUCCAAAUAGCACCCUCUAAUUAUCUCUUAACACCCGGUAAAUUAAUUCCAGUAUCCAAAACUUAACCUAGUUGGCCGAAUUUUUCUGAACUUUUCGCACUAGUGGGUCCCACGUCCGGUAUACGCUCUUAAUUUCUAAAAAAUUAUUCGAUACUAGAAAAAUCAUCUAAAACUAUAUUUACGCAUAAAAAUUAUCUAGAAAAUUUUUCUAAUAAAGAAAAUGCAGAAAACAAGCUAUUAACCCGAAUAAAACCUAAAAAUGGAAAAAAAAUUUAUGGGUUCUCACACUCUCUCCCCCUUAAAAAAAUUUCGCUCUCGAAAUUUCUCACCUCAACUCACGAAAAGUUCAGGGUAUUUCUUUCGCAUUUCUUCUUCCACUUCCCAGGUAACUUCCUUUACCCCAUGAUUUCUCCACAGUAUCUUAACCAACGGAAUCUGCUUGUUUCUUAACUCUUUAACUUUUCGGUCAAGCACUUGGACAGGUUUCUCUUCGUAAGCAAGCGAUUCGUCUACGUCGAUCUCCUCUGGUUGUAAGAUAUGGGAGGGGUCGGGAUAGUAUUUCUUGAACAUCGAGACGUAGAAGACGUCGUGAAUUCUCGAGAGACUUGACGGCAGCUCUAGUCUAUAUGCUACCGCGCCUAUCCUCUGCAGGAUCUUGUAAGGUCCGAUGAACCUCGGUUGCAAUUUCUUUCCUCUACCCGCCGUGACACUCCGUAACGGUGUAAUCUUGAGGAAAACACGGUUUCCAACUUCAAACUCCAAGUCUUUUCUUCGGUUGUCUGCGUAGCUCUUUUGUCGGCUUUGAGCAGUUUGGAGUCGUUGCCGUAUCAACUUGACCUUUUCUCGAGCUUCUUCCAUCCAUGGAAUAGUGGUUGGAUCUAAUGCCUUCCUCUCGCCAACUUCAUCCCAGUAAAUUGGUGACCGGCAUUUUCGUCCGUAUAAUGCUUCAUAUGGAGCCAUUUGAAUCGAUGAAUGGUAGCUGUUGUUGUAUGCAAACUCUACUAAGGUCAUGUGUUGACCCUAGUUGCCUCCAAAAUCCAGAAUGCAAGUAUGUAGCAUGUCCUCAAGAGUUUGGAUUGUUUGCUCCGAUUGUCCAUCCGUCUGAGAGUGAUAGGUCGUGCUCAAGUUGAGUUUCGUUCCUAGAGUUUCUUGGAAUUUUUGCCAAAAUCGAGAUACGAAACGUGGAUCUCGAUCGGAGACGAUACUGACUGGAAUGCCGUGUAACCUUACGAUCUCGUCCAUGUAUAGUUGGUAGGGGUGGGCACGGGUCGGUUACCCGCCCCGAACGCUAAUUGGCUGACCCGACCCUAACAUAUCGGGUCACUAUUUUUUUGACCCUAAUCCGCUCCGAACUUCCUCGGGUACCCGAUCCUCGGAUACCCGAAAAAUAGGGGCGGGUCAUAGGGUACCCGCCCCUAUUUAAAGAAUGCAAUUUUUCUCUAAAACUCAUAAGACAUAAGAUGAACCUGCUGGACGAUAGCAUCAUUCAACAAAAAAAAAAGGCAACAACAUCAUUCAAAUUCAAACUAGACAAAGACAAAGCAUAUUCAAAUCUAAAAAAUGAUCAGUAGCAGUAGUUCCACACUAAAUCAUAAAGUUAGAAAUAUCUACUCUGAUACAUAACUUCCAAAAAUUCAAUUUGUCUCGAAUGUUGGAGGAGGUGGUACUUGACUUGUCUCAGUUUCAGAAGCUCCAGCAACAAUUUUUGGAUCCAUUGAUGAUGAAUGAUCAACAUUUGGGCUUGCAGCUGUAGUAGCUGUAUUAUCCCCUGUACUUGACAUCUGAAAAAUUCAAAAAACAAAUCAAAUGAAAAUCCCACUUCUCUACCAUAUGCGCAGCUAAUACAUAGCUCAGAAACUCCUAUAAAACCAUGUGCAGAUUCAUUUUAAAAAGAAAAGGGCAGUUGGAAUAAUCUUAAGAACAAUAACAAAAAAUUGCUCACAAUCCUCAGUUGCUUGGCCUGCUAAUUUAAAUAUUGAGUGCAAAGUGUAGCUAAACCCAAAGGGGGAAAAAUGUCCAAUGUAUGAAAAGAAAAGGCAAACCAAUAAUCUCAAAAAAAAAAAAAGAGUUUUACACUAUUACAACUUCAGCAGGUAUAGAGGUAUUAUCUUAGAAUUUGCACAUUGAAUUGAAUUAUGUUAGACAAAAAAGCUAAAGUAAUUAUGCAGCUACAUUGCAUUGGAGGAAAAUAAUGAACGAUGUAGAGUUUCCACUUUCCAGUGUUUGUUCAUGUCUUAGUAUCUAUAUGCAAGAAUCAAUAAUAUUCUUGAGAAUUAGAAUCAGUAAAUUUUAUGGUACAUCAUAUCUCUUUAAACCUUAGUUGGAUAACUGUGUAAUUUACAACUUAAAGUUUUUGGUUUAAUCUGAAUUUUUGGUUUGAACUCGUCUUGUAGACAUUAGAGCUGAUUACGGUACAUGGACACACUUGUGAAGCAUUUAAUUGAAUAUUUUUUCUUAAUUAGAAACUCAGGACAAAGUGCAGUAUGUUCUUAUUUUUCAGAACCUUAGGCACAAUUUCUCCCACCGUUCUUGAAUUUUAGAACAUAACCUAAGCCUUACGCAUAUGCGUGCAACAGUCCACCAAAAGUACAGAAAAAGCCAUGUAAAGUAAAACUCUCUGCAAAUGAACAACUAGCCUAUGAGAGUUGGUCUAAGACCUCAAAUGUCAAAGCCAUGAGAGUAUCUCCAUGGAAAAUUAUGGCCAGAAUUUGUUUCCGUACCUGUACCAUUUAUGCCGAUUGCCGACCCCCUUUUUGGUUUUUUUUUUUUCUUUUUUCUGUAUGGGUCCAACAAUUCCUAAUCUUAAUUGUACAACCCAGUUUCGAUUUGGACGAAAGAUCAGAAUUCAUGUAGCCAAUUCGACAAAUGCAUAGACGUACACAAUACACAUAGAUGCAGAAUAGUUUUGCAGAAAGAAUUGAACUUAAAAGAAAAUAGUUAUUGAAAAACCUUGAUAGCUAAACCACCCGGCUCCGGCGUCGGCGGCGUCAGGCGACCUUUUGGCAGCGUCCCUUUACUCGAAGUCGAAGGUAGAAAAGGACGACAACGGAGAAACAGGGCUGAAGAGAAAGGGAUUCGAUUCAGUCAGGCAGUUUGAGGAGUUUUAACGGUAGUUUUCGGCCCUAGGUUUGAGCGACAAGAGCAUCGGCCAUUGAAGAGUGAAGAGUGAAGGUGAAGAGUGAAGAGUGUCGACGGCUGAAGCAGAGGAUGAAAUCUGAAGGUUAGGAACCUAGGGUUAAUAACUUAAAAAAUUAUAAAAUUGCCCCUAUAUUUUUUAAUAUUUAUAUAUUAUACCCCCGGGUCGGGUACCCGCGGGUUUUGGCUUUUACGAUCCGUACCCGUAUCCGAAUGUUCCGGAUACCCGACCCUAUCUGAUCCGCUAAGAGAAAUCGGAUCGGAUAUCCUAUUUUUCGGUGCGGAUCGGGUCGGAUCUCUCGGGUUUUCGGGUCAGCGGGUAUUUUUGCCCACCCCUAAUAGUUGGGCCAACUUGUCCAUGGAAUACUUCAUGUUUACCAGCAGGAAAUGGGCCGAUUUGGUUAACCGGUCGACGAUUACCCAAACGGCAUCGUGUUCUCGUUGCGUUCGUGGCAAACCUGAAACGAAGUUCAUGGUGAUGUUUUCCCACUUCCACUCGGGUAUCUCAAGGGGUUGUAACAAGCCCGAUGGUUUUUGAUGCUCCGCUUUAACCUGUUGGCAAACAAGACAUUUUUGCACGUACAGAGCGAUUUCUUUCUUCAUAUUAUCCCACCAAUAGGUUCCUUUCAGGUCUUGAUAAAUCUUACUACUACCCGGAUGGAUAGUAUACUUGGACCGACGAGCUUCCUCUAGAAUUUCUGUUUUCAACGACUCAUCUUUCGGUACCACUAUUCGAUUCCGGUAUUUUAAAAUACCCUCAGGACUGAAAUUGAAAUCAGUCGUUUCCCCUUUGUCCGCUUUCUCCCGCCACUUCCGUACCAUCACAUCCUCUUUUUGCGCUUCUUUAAUCCAUUCCAAUAAGAUGGAAGUCACUUUAAUAUUGCCAAAAAUCACCUUAUGGCUCCCAAGGCAGGGUUUCCACUCGCACACAGAGUCUAGCAUAUUCCAUUUUUUGAUCAUUAACCCUGCUACUUGCACCUUGUGACUCAAAGCAUCGGCCACUACGUUCGCCUUUCCUGGAUGGUAGUUGAUGAUACAGUCGUAAUCCUCCAGAAAUUCCAUCCAUCGUCGCUGCCUCAUGUUUAAUUCCUUCUGUGAGAAGAGGUACCUCAGGCUUUUGUGAUCGGAGUAAACCUCGAAAGUUACCCCAUAUAAGUAAUGCCUUCACUUUUUAAGAGCGAAAACAACUGCGGCUAACUCCAAAUCAUGGGUUGGAUAGUUCUGCUCGUGGGGUUUUAACUUUCUCGAGACAAAAGAUAUCACAUUGCGGUUCUGCAUUAGCACACAUCCUAGACCUUCCCGCGACGCAUCGGUAUACACAGCAAACCCGUCACCUCCGUUAGGUAAAACUAGAACUGCUCACAUGGUCAAUCUUUUUUUUUUAAUUCUUGAAAACUUGUCUCUCUUCGGGCAUUCCAAAUGAAUCGCCCAUGUUUCUUCGUCAAGUCGGUUUGAGGACCGGCUAGUUUGGAAAUGUCCUUGAUGAAACGCCGAUAAUAUCCAGCCAGUUCUAGAAAGCUGCGAAUCUCGGUAGGAUUUUCUGGCCUCUUCCAAUUAAUCACAGCCUCUACUUUCGCUGGGUCAACUGAAAUACCCUCUUGAGAAAUUACGUGUCCCAGAAAAGCAAUUUUCUCCAGCCAAAAUUCGCACUUGCUGAACUUGGCGUACAGUUGAUGGUCUCUUAGAGUUUGUAAGACAAUCCUCAAGUGCUGCUCAUGCUCUUCACGUGUCUUGGAAUAGACCAGAAUAUCGUCGAUGAAAACUACUACAAAUCAAUCCAAAUAGGGCUUAAAAACCCUAUGCAUUAAAUCCAUGAAGGCGGCAGGAGCAUUGGUUAAUCCAAAGGGCAUAACUGCAAACUCGUAAUGCCCAUAUCUUGAGUUGAAAGCGGUUUUCGGUAUAUCUUCCUUCCUGAUUAAUAACUGGUAAUAUCCUUGGCGGAGAUCUAGUUUUGAGAAAACCACCGCUCCUUGCAACUGGUCAAACAACUCAUCUAUGUGGGGCAGUGGAUACUUAUUUUUCACCGUGAUAUUAUUCAGGCCCUGAUAAUCGAUACACAUUCUCAACCCACCAUCCUUUUUCUUGAUAAACAGGACAGGAGCUCCCCAAGGAGACCCACUCUCUUGAAUGAAUCCCCGCUCCAGAAGGUCCUGUAAUUGCAUCUUUAGCUCCUUAAGUUCAGCAGGAGCCAUUCGGUAUGGUGUUUUUGAGAUAGGUGAGGAUCCCGGUAGCAGGUCUAUUUUGAAUUCAAUCUCUCUUUCCGAAGGCAGAGCUACUAGCUCAUUAGGAAACACGUCCGGAAAUUCCUUCACUAUGGGCACGCCCUGCACUUUCAACUUAUCCGUGGGGGUAUUAAUCAGAAAGGCUAAAAAUCGUUACGCCCCUCUACUUAGUAAUUUCCUAACCCGAAUACCCGAAAUCAAAGCAGAUGAGGCUAACCUACCCCUUAUAUCCAACCUUAUGGUUGCCUCACCAGGGAUGCGGAAUUCUACCACUUUUGUUUUACAGUCCAGUUGGGCAUUAUAGUUGGCUAGCCAAUCCAUACCCAAUAUCACAUCAUACCCUUUGAGGACUAAACUUAUCAAGUCCCCUAACAAUCUCUUCUCUCCUACCCACACUUCACAAUCCUUAUAACCCAUACUAGUAACCAAACGUUGAUUCCCCGUAGGUGUACUAACUUUUAGGUCGUAUGGUAAACUAGCAGGUUUUAUAUCGAUGCCACACAUGAAAUCAGGGUUAACGAAGGAAUGAGUGGCACCAGGAUCAAUUAAAACUUUGGCAAAACGGUGCAAAAUAGGGAUCGUACCUUCUACGACCUCUAAGGAAUUUGGGACCUGUUGAGGUUCUAACGAAUAUACUCGAGCUGACACCUUAGGUUUCGUCCCAUUCCCCUUAUCCGGUCCCGUAUUAAUUUUUGGGGCGAUUUGAGCUCCCUUUUCGUCUUGCUUUAAGAGUGGACAAGUAGCAAGCUUGUGGUCUGCGCUUUCGCAACGUAGGCAUUUACCUCCCUUCUUCCAGCAAUUAUCUUCAGAGUGAUUCGGCUUUCCGCAGUACCCACAAGGCCCACGGGACGCCGAACCUGAACCCUUCUGGAACUUUCUGCCUUGGCCUCUCCCGGCUGAGCCACCCCUGGACUGAGCCCCUCUGCUUGUACCUGACUGUCGUCCACCCCCAGCUCCUCGUCCGAACUUGGAGGGGGUACCUUUAUCCCCUUGUCCAGAGCUGCUUCCAGAAAAACCCCGCUUUUUCGCCUGAAAGUUCCGUACUUGCAAUCUGGCACUCUCUACUCGUUGGGCCUUCUCAACGGCCUCGCUAAAAGCAUUGAUUUGAGCCACUGCGAGGUUCUUCUAAAUCUCCACGUUUAGGCCCUGGAUAAAACGCCUAAUUCGCCGUUGCUCUGUCACAAUCAACUCAGACGCAAAUUUGGACAGGCAGAUGAACUGGCUCUCGUAUUUCGCCACCGAUUGAGCUCUUUGGCGGAGUCGGAUGAACUCAUCUUCCUUCCUCUCCUGAACCAGAGGAGGGAAGAAUUUCGCGUUAAACUCUCUCAUAAAAUUUACCCAAGUCCUGGACGUUUGUUCUUGUUCCCAUUUUUGCCGUAUGACAUUCCACCAGGAACAGCCCGCCCCUUCCAGCUGGAAAAUAGCAAAAGUCACCUGCCGUUCUUCGGUAUAGUGCAGGGCAGCGAAAAUAUCGACCAUCUUUUCGAGCCACCUUUCGGCGACAUCCGGAUUGGGUCCCCCAAUGAACUUGGGUGGAGCAAACUUUUGAAAUCGUUCGAGAGCUCUGUCUUCGCUCUCAACAUGAUUGCCAGGGUUUCCAGGAUUUCCAGGAUUAGGGUUUGGAUUCUGGCCUUGUUGCUGCACCACUUGUGCCAGCAGGUUGGUCAUUUGCUGCAUAGCGGCAGCUAUCUGUACAUUGGGGUCAACUCUGGGUUCAGGAUUGGGUCCAGAGGAGGUUUCCCCAGCACCCCGGUCUGGCGUAGGUUUCCUAUUCCCGCGCCUACGCCCCCGUCCACUACGUGUGCCGUCCAUAAGUUCUAUUUGAUCUAGACAAACGUACUAGAACAAUAAAAUGACAAUGCAUGUAAAUAAAAUCCCAAAAACUUUUACAACCAUAUAUAUACAUUCCAAACAAGGCAACAACACACAUAUAAACAACCAGUCAAGUCAAGUACAAACAUGGACAAUCCACGAGGGAAAAACCCCAUCCAAAAGAAAUAUAAACGUAGCUAACCCAAACGUACAAAACGAUUAGCUAAGGCUUUUUCCCUAUCCGCCCUAUAUACAGAAAACAAAACUAUCUCAAAGACCCUAGGAGUCGUAACCUAGUCCGACGACGAGCUAGUAGACCCACCCGACGAGGUAGAUCCAACCCCAGCCUCGGGCCCCGCACAUGAGUCCUCGUCGCUCACGCCCUCGACCACGUCAGUACAGAGGUUCAGGAUCGAGGCAGCUCGAACCUUCACCUUUCGGGCUCUCUUAGACUCGCGCUCACGGACUUCCCUAAGCUGAGUGCAGAGGUCAUCCAUCCUAUCCUCUACCUCUAGCACGUCGUACUCCAAGCCCUCAAUGCGCUCGACCUAUUUCUCAUUGGCCGCCAUAAGCUGGGUCACCUCGGCCUCAAACCUAGCAUUAUAUGCGGCUAACUCCUUACACUCCUCGGCCACGGCCAACACUAAAGCGUUAGGGUAAGCAUAGGUAUGGCGGCACUCACACCGUCUGAGGCGGUUAGACGGACUCCAGCGCACGACGGCCCCUCUUGGCCGUAUCUGGUAUGGUAUCACGGGGAGCGUUCCAUGAGGUCUCUCGCCCGGAGGACUAUCACUAGGCUCACCCUGUCCGGCCAUCCUACACCAACAGAGCAAUUAACCAUAAAUAAGCUUAAAAGCCAUAAACAAAGAACCCUCAAAUCGAGCAUUUCUAUUACACCCAGGCUAAUUCAAACCUAGGCUCUGAUACCACAUGUGACAGCCCCACCUUCCCCUAAGGCGAACCAAAGGGGUUAGCGGACUGCCUGCCCAACUCUUGCCAGGACUAACGGUGCAGUUUAGAGCAAUCUAUUGCGUUCCGGAACUUACAAACGCGCGUAAACAAGUCAAAAUGUCAAAAAAAAAAAAAAAAAAGAAAUCGGAGUCGGCCAUGAGUAGUAACCGACCCGUCAGAACCCAACCAAAUAUCAAGCAAACAUUCACAUCAUGAACUUUAGUAUUUACAAUCCAAAGUGGCAUACAAAAGUAUUCAAAAGUGGAUACAUGUAUGGUUUGCCAAAACAAAAGAGAAACGGACCCAAAAGUACAUUUAGGGUUUCAAUAAAUGAGCUAUACAAAAGAUAUGUCCAACUAACUCAAUUCGGCAACCAAAUAUCAAUUGCAGUCCAAAAGUAUUUAUUUUCCUGUAAGGAAAACAAAAGGAAUAAAGUGAGCUACUUGCCCAGUGAGAUAAUACUACUCAAGCAACCAAGUUCAUAGAUGCAUCAAGUUUUUCAGUCCAAUUCAUCAAAAGUAAAUAAAGACACACAUCAAUAAUGAUGAUAAAAGGAUACGGGCGGCUCUCAAGAGCCCUUUUCCUCGUUUGCAUUCUUGAUCGGAUCUCAUUGACUCUCCAUCAAUGUUUAAAAGUAACCAUCCGUAGACUUCACUUUACUUCCAUUCAUUCCACCUAACAUUCCCCUACCGGGCCCGAACUCCAAACACUUGCACUGUGGUAUUACUCGAGUAUACCGGAAUCGAGAGUCUCUCAUACUACAAGAUUCCAUAUAACCUUUCCCCAAGGCUCAUUAAUUGUCACGACCAAACCCUCGCCAGCUCGAUUCAAUCAACUACCAAUGGGGUUGAGCUCAAUGAUAACAAUCAUGGUCAUUGGAUACUCGUCCAAACGACACCAAGUCAUGUACUUUCAUUUCAUGUAACAUUCCAAUAACAUGAGAAAUAAGUGAGAGUGAUAAAGUACACCCUCACUUUAAUCAAUAUCAAUGGUACAAUAAACAUUUAACUCAUCAAGUUCAAAUAUCAAAGCCAUAUAGUAACACACAAGUGAGUAGUACACUCACCAAGCUUGCAAAUGAUAUUUCAUGCAACCCCGUCAAAGGAGCGUCGUGAACCACCGUCACGCCCUAAAACAUGCAAACAAGUACAAUGAGACUCGAUAACGAGUCAUAAACCAAUGCCAAGUAUUACCAAAAUAAGGUUCCAUAAGCAUACAUAAGCAUUAGAAGAAACCAGAAAAAUCCGGAAAUGGAACUAGCUUUAACCCUGAAAAAAAUAGUUUUUGACGUCAUUUUGCGGUUUUAGUGCCAAUGGCACUACAAUCAUUGGAUGAAGGUACAAGACCCACCAUUUCGAAGCUAAACGAUAGGGUUACAAUAUUACAGAAGGUCACUCAAUCCAGUUUUGAGUGUAACCAGGUUAAAAAUGCAAUCUACUACACCAGAACUGGAAAAAUAGACUCACAAAACGUAUUCUGGUUCAAACAUCAUUAGUCAGCCUACCUAAGUCCAAAUCUAGAAAUUUCAAAGCCAUCCAAAAGCUAAGGAAUAGGGCUACAUUUCAUCAGAAGACAUCAACAACCAAUUUAGAAGCAUUCUCAACCAAAAUAACCCAUUACAGAAGCAAUUCUCAAUUUCGGGUAAAACCAGGGCAGCAAGGGUAAUUCCAUCUUUUCUCAAGCCACGCUACUCCGAUUGACCUAAAAUUGUGCAGACAUCUCUAAAAUAUCAUUCCCUACAACUUUCAUGUUUUAACCCAAGGCUAAUUCGGCCUCUAACUAUGAGCUACAAAACCGGGCAGAAUGUAAUUCAAAGAACCCUAACUUUCCAAUUUUUCUUCCAAAACAGAAAUUGCUUGCAAUUUAUCAUUUUUUCCACCUUCUAGCUUCCUUAAAUAUCAUUUCCAAUCAUCAUACAUGACCACAUAAUCAUAUUCAUAUGAAAACAGAAAAAUCCCCAAUAAUUAUAAAACUUCAUCAAUUCAACCACAAAUCAAGAUAUAAUCCAUAAAAUUGCAUCUUAUACUACCACUAAUCAUGGAUUAAACAUCAUUAGAGGGAGGAGAGGGGUCCUUCUCAACUUACCUUAGCAAGACAAGAAAGAGAGCAACUAGUCCUCUUAGCUUUCCAAGUAACUCCACAAAACAACUCACAAACACUCCUUUAAGGUUUUCUAUGGAACAAAAACAAGAGUAGAUGGUUGAGUGAUUGGAUUUGAGCAAGAGGGAAUCAAGAAAUUGAAGAGGUUUUCUUUCUUUCCUUCCUUGAGAGAGCCGGCCACUUGAGCUAGGAAAUGGAGCAAUUUUUGGUAAAUUUUUAGUUUAUUAAAUCAAAUGGUAAGACAUGGAAUAGUAGUCAAAAGUUUCUACCAACCCUAUGGUGACACUUGUCACCAUCAUUAAUGCAUCUCUAUCUUUUUGUUUCCCCUCACACCAAUCCAAAUAGCACCCUCUAAUUAUCUUUUAACACCCGGUAAAUUAAUUUCAGUAUCCAAAACUUAACCUAGAUGGCCGAAUUUUUCCGAACUUUUCGUACUAGUGGGUCCCACGUCCGCUAUACGCUCUUAAUUUUUCAAAAACAAUUCGAUACUAGAAAAAUCAUCUAAAACCAUAUUUACGCAUAAAAAUUAUCUAGAAAAUUUUUCUAAUAAAGAAAAUGCAGAAAACAAGCUAUUAACCCGAAUAAAACCUAAAAAUGAAAAAAAAAAUUACGGGUUCUCACAGUUUACAACCCUAAGCAAGAAAAUAAGUUAGAGGACUUGAGGAACCCAUUUAUUUAGCUUUAAAUCAUAGGCUAGCGGACUUAAUGAGACCUCUAGGUAGCUGACUUGGGGUUUGAUUGUUUGGUUAUGGUUGUUUAUGUGAUAUAUAGCUUGAUUACGGUUAGAAAGUGGGGAGAAAUCGAAAGAAAUGUUGGAAAGGAUUUGCUAACGAAAUUAUAAAUGGUUUGCUAACUAUUUGCUAACAAAAAUUAAACUUGCUAAUACAACGUUUUAAAAUUAUAACAAGGGAUAUAUUUGCAUAUAAAUGGACUUAAAAUGGGUGAAAUAAAUUAUUUGGGGUAAACGGGUGAAUAAAUAAUUAAAUAAGCUAGUAAAAUAAAAUAAAAAUAAGAAAAAAAAUUCGUAUCCUCACAACCUACCUUCCUUAAAAAAAUUUCGUUCUCGAAAUUUAUACCUUCCAUAACCUCAGAUAAUCCUGGGCCUUGUUGUGUGAUCAUUGCAUAUUUUCUUGCAGGUGCCAUUGAUCGUUUCCUUCUUUAUUGACUUGUCGAGGGAUAGUAUUAUUUCCUUGCUAAGUAGUAGUUUCUCGUGGAUUCCUCUUUGAGCAGUCGUGAAUUUUAUGGUUGGCGCUCCUACAUCUCAUACACUUUUUGCCCCUUUACCCAGCAGUUUUCUUCAGUAUGAAUCGUCCUUCCACAAUAUCCACAUGUCAGACAAGGAGUGGUGACUUGACUUGUCUGCGAAGUUUCUCUUAAUUGUAUCUGUCCUACUGGAGCUUCUCGUUAUAUAGUUCCUUCUGGUUUAUUUAUCAUGGGUGGUGAAGGAAGUGGUAAUCUUACUCCAUCCACUCCUUUUCUAACUUUAGGUGGCGGUCCAAUUUCUCUUGGUACCUCAAAGUAGUUAUUACUAUCGGAUACAUCUCUUUUCCUUACUUGAAAGGCUCUCAGUUGGGAUUUUGUGCUCUCUACCCUUUGUGCUUUUUCGAGAGCGUCACUAAAUGUUUCAAUCUGUGCUACGGCAAGGGCAUCUUGGAUUUCUAAAUUUAAUCCUUGGAUAAACUGUCUUAUUCUCUUCCGCUCCAUAGCCACCAAUUUUGGAGCAUAUUUAGAAAAUUUCGUAAAUUGUGUUUCAUACUCAGCCACACUCAAAAUUUCUUGACGAAACUUUAUAAAAUCGUCUUCUCUCUUUUCUUGGAUUAGUGGAGGAAGAAAUUUCUUAUUAAAUUCUUGUACAAAGUUUAUCCAAGUUCUUGGAAUUUGAGCUUUUUCCCAAUUGUUUCUUAUGACAUUCCACCAGGUUCUAGCUGCUCCCUCAAGUUGAAAUACAGCAAAAGUGACUUGUCUUUCUUCUGUAUAGUUCGAGGCAUUGAAUAUAUUUCUUGUAUUUUCUAACCAAUUUUCAGUCACUUCUGGGUCAGGUCCUCCAAAAAAUUUAGAUGGAAAGAAUUUCUGAAACCGCUUCAAAACUCGAUACUCUCCUAUCUCUUGGUUUUCAUGUUGGUUUCCUUGUCCAACCCCCUGGCCCUGUUGAGCUACUAAGAGCUCUAGUAUAUCCGUCAUGCAAGUUAAAACUAAUCUUAUUUGAUCAUCUCCUUCCCCAACCCUUGGCUCGGCGUUUUGAUCAGCAGCAGAAUCAUUAUCUACCCUUUGGUUUCGGAAUUGUCUAGGUUGACGUUCCUUUUGUUGUCCUCUAGUUCCCAUGUUCACAUCUAAUCUAGAUGCACAUGCAUAAACCCCACACUAAACCAUAACUGAACUACACACACAUACCAGUAACAAUUCUAAAGAAAUGAAAUCAUUUGCACAAAUAAUAUUAUCACCUUACAAGUCAAGCACAAACUAGAGCUCAUUAGAUCAUAACACAAGUUACAGUCAAGUAAAGUACAUACCAAGUCAAGGUCAGUAAACGAAAGUAAACAGGGAAUUAACAAAAGUACAUGCAUCUUCAAGGCACAAACUCUUAAGUCCUAUUCCCAUCGUCCCAUUACAAAAGAUCAAAAGUAGUGUUUCACUAGAUUAAUUGGAACUGGAUGAUUCCCGUUCCCUAACACUAGGAUCCUUAGCACUAGGAUCCUCUGGGCCAUGAUUUUCUUCACCUCUCUCUCUUAAUUAUUGUGUCAUCCUAGCCAAACGAUUAUUGGUUUCCUGUAACUAUUCACGUGAAAUAUUGAUUCGUUCUUAUUCCCGCAAAUAGAGAUCUCAAGUCCUUAGCAUUGCUCUCAACUCUUAAGUACUCGGAUACAAGAAUCCGAAAUAAGAUAAUUCACAACUCGAGUCGGUCGGUCCCAAAAGUAAAUCACCACAUUUGAGAUUCCUACCCAAUAUACAUAUCUAAUUUUUCCCAAGUAUCAAGAUAAAGGGUUUAUACCUAUCACAUUCAUGAUUUACAGCUUACGCCCUAGAAGAGUACUUAAGUCUUUACUCAUUCACAUAAUAAGGACCAUAACACCACUUGGCCCAAACUCACCCUGCGCAGAGACCAUGCAAACCUGGCUCUGAUACCACCUGUGACGCCCCCACUUCUCCCAAGGGCGAAUCCAAGGGUAUCCGCGGAACGCCUGCCCAGCUCUUGUCGGGGUUCACUACAAUCCAUAAUUCAAAAUCUAGAAAUGCUUCAAAAUUUUUAAUAGCAUUUAAAGUACUCCAAAACAUUUCAUACUUACCAUUAGUUAACUUUCAAACUUAAAAACAAUCCAAAAGAAUUUGUACUACAGUCAUUGCUAUAAUACAAGUUGAAGUCUCUAAAAGAAAACAAUUUAAAACUAUUCGUGAGCACUCUCGGUCCUGAAUCUUGUUAAGGAAAAUAAAAGCAUGGAAUGAGCUAAAUAGCCUAGUGGGGUUCCAAAACAUACUAGCUGUUCUAAUAAAUCAAGUAAAUUGAGUAUAACGCACACACGGUUCAAGGUGUCACAUUGGCACAUUAAAAUGAGACAUUUAUCAUUGUACAGAAAUAAACACACAUUAAAGGAUACGGUGUUCACGUAGAACUGUUUCGGUCAACUACACCUUAUAACUCCAAUAUUUUUCCCGAUUUAUUUGGCCAUCGCCUUAUCCCUCCAGUGGUAAUAUUCAAGUGUACCGAUACAGUGAUCCAGGGUUCCAACCUACCCGACCGAGGUCAGUCCUGACUCGAGCAGGUUAGUAACCAAGGGCAGGGCCCAAUUCAACUAAGAGCUUACAACAUGCGCAAGUAAUCAAAUAUACAGGUAAACGGUAGAAAUUCACGAUUAAACGGUUGAAAUUUGUUAUUUUAGUAGGUCGAGUGAGAUAAAGUACACAAUCGCCUUAAAACAGUGAAAAAUUUCAUAUGAGCAAUUAUAGGGAACACUUAACACUUAAACACAUAAGAAAUAUGCGGUAAAUGUGAGAACCUUCAUUUUAAAACACAAUUUUCCUAAAUUACAUGCCUUGCCCUAAGGUUUAAAUCACUUAUAACAUGUCCUUGUAUUGCAUUUUACUUGCAUUAUAACAUUUCCUUACAUUGCACUUUAUUAUUCUUAUUUGGAUUGUAACAUUUCCUUGAGUUGGUUUUAUUUUAUUUCACCACACAUACUUUGACCAAGUGUCCUUUUAUUAGUGGUAAGGACCUUAUAUAAUAGUUUAGAGGUGUUAAAUACGCAUUGGUACAUUUGGAAGGGUAGAAGUGUGAGAACCCGUAAAAUCCUAAUUAUAUUCCUAGGGUUUAUUUCCCCUUAAUUGCAUGUUUUCUGCAUUUUCUGACUUAAAAAUAUUUUCUUAGUGGAUUUUAUGAGCAAUUAUAGUUUUAAGAUGAUUUUUCUAGCAUUGGUGAAUUUUUAGAAAAUUAAGAAUAUAUAUUGGAUGUGGGACCCACUAGUGCGAUAAGUUCGGAAAAAUUCGGCCAAUAAGAUUAAGUUUCGGAUAUUGUUAAAAGUUUAUCGGGUAUUAAGAGAUAAGUAGGGUGUGUGAAGUGAUUGAUGUGAGAGAGAAAAGAAUGAUAAGGAUGCAUUUAAUAGAGUGACACAUGUCACAUUCUCAUUGGUUGAACUUUUAAGAAACACUAUUCACAAUUUUGACUUUUUGACCAAAGGAUUAAAUAUCCAAAAAUUCACCAAAAAUCACCAUUUUUCUUCUCUUGUUGGCCGGCUCUCCUUAGCUCAAGAAGGAAGGGAACUUCUUCAUUUUGCAAGCUUCCACUUGGUCCAAUCUACCACAAACCAAAGCCUAGAGUUGAUUUCACUCCAUAAAAACUUUCCUUCUAGUGUUAGUAAGUUGUUUAUUGAAACUUUUUGGAAGAGCUAAGGUGUCCAUCAUCUUCCUCUCUCUUGUUGUUAGGUGAGUGAUGCUUCAACCUUUCUACUACACCUAAUGAUGGUUAUUUUGUGCUUAAUGGUGGCAUGAGUGUUGAAAUAUAUGAUUUGUUUCUUGAUUUGAAGAGUUUUGGUGAAAUUUUUAUUUUAUUGGGAAUUUUUCUGGUUUAAUAUGAUCUUGAUGUUGGGGGCUUGUAUGAUGAAUUGUAAUGGUUGGAAAUGACUCUAGUGAGUGUGAAUUGUGGUGAAAUGCAAUCAAUUUUGGAUUUGGUGUGAAAUUUGAAAAGUUAGGGUUCUUGAACCCCCAAUUCUGUCCGGUUUUAGAUCACUGGGUUAGAGGCCGAAUUUGAUUUUUCUCAAAACAUGAAAGUUGUAGGUAUUGAUGUGUUUGAGGUGUCUGUAAAAUUUCAGGUCAUUUGGAUUAAUGUGGAAUGAGUUAUGACGAAAUUACUGUAGCUGUUCUGCUUUGAGCAGAAUGCGAAAACUGCGAUAGUAAUAGGCCAUUUUGACUGGUUUUGGUUUGGAUUUUGAAGUUGGUGUUUUCUGAUGAAAUGUAGCUGGAUGUCUUAGCUAACUUAUGCCUUUGGAAUUUCGGCAUUUGGACUUGUAUGGACUGAGAUAUACCGAUUACAGUUUUCUGUGUUUUGCAAACCUGUUUUGGUGAUUCUGGUUUAGUGUUUGGCAUUUUUGACCUAGUUGUGCCAGGAACUGGAUUGAGUGACCUUCUACAUUGUUGUAGCCCUGUUUCAUAGCUUUUUCAUAGCUUCGAAACAGUGGGUCUUACACCCCCAUCCGAUAAUUGUAGUGAGAGUUGUGCCAUUACCGCAUUAUGACGUCAAAACCGGUUUUCUUAUCAAGGCCUAAGUUAAAGCCCUUUUCCUAAUUUCUGGUUUCCUAUGAUGCUUAUAUAUGUUUGCAAAACCCUAUUGGGGUUGUGAUUGGCAUUGUUUUGUGACUCGCUAUCGAGUCUCAUUGCAUUUGUUUACGUGUUCUAGGGCGUGACGGUGGUUCACGACAUUCUCCAGACGGAAGUGCAUGAAAUAGCACUUAAUUGAUUGGUGAGUGUACUACUCACUUGUGUGCUAUUAUAUGGCUUUGAUAUUUGAACUUGAGAUGUUGUAUGUUAAUGGAUUGAUGUGAGAGUGUACUUUAUCACUCUCACUUAUUGUUUCACAUGUUAUUGAAAAGUUAUUGGAAAGUUAUAUGAACUGUUAUAUGAAAUGAAAUACAUGACUUGGUAUCGAUUGGACAAGUAUCCAACGACUACAAAUGUUAUCAUUGAGCUCAACCCCAUUGGUAGUUGAUUGAAUCGAGCCGACAAGGGUUUGGUCGUGACAAUUAAUGAGCAUUGGGUAAAGUUAUAAGGAAUCUUGUAGUAUGAGAGACUCUUGAUUCCGGUAUACUCGAGUAAUACCACAGUGCAAGUGUUUGGAGUGCGGGCCCGGUAGGGGGAUGUUUGGUGGAAGGAAUGGGAGAGAAGAGGAGUCUACGGUUGGUUACUCUUCAACAUUGACGGAGGGUCAAUGAGGUUGGAUCAAGAAUGGAAGCGUGGAAAUGGCCUCUUAAGAGCCGUCCGUAUCCUUUUAUCGAUGUGUUUCAUUCCUUAAUUGUGUACUUGAAAUGAAAGGUUAUGCUAUAUGCUCUUAGUUGCUUAUGUGGUAGUAACUCACUGGGCUUUAGCUCAUCCCGUUCCAUUUGUUUUCCUUACAGGGAUAUAAUUACUUUUGGGACUGAUUUGGAUAGUCUAUUGCUAAGUUGAGCUAGUGUAAAUGGCUUUUGUUUAGCUUGUCGAAUGAAACUCCAUUGUGUAUUGGGUUCAUUUUCUUUGAUUGGCAAACCGAGUAUGUAUAUUCAUGAUAGAUGAUUUUUGGCAUGACACUAUGGUUGUAAAAGUUGAAUUUCAAUGUAUAUAUAUGUUUGGUUGAUGAUUGGAUGGAUUUCGGAUCUAGACGCAUUUCAAACGGAGAAGGAAAAAAAUUUGGCGGGAAUGAACAGGACCGAAUCCGGCCAGGAAUCCGGCCAGAAACUGGCCUGAUUGCCGGCCGGAUUGGGAAGGAUUUUGAAAAAAAUUUUGGAUUGCUCUCGGCCUCGUAUCCGGCCGAGAAUCCGGCCGGAAAUCCGGCCAGAUUCCGGCCGGAUUCUGACGUGUCCGUUACUGUUCAUCUUCGGCUUUGAUUUUCGUUUUUUUUAUUUUGCGAUUUUGACUUGUUUGCGUGCUUCGGUAUGCUCCGGAACGUAAUAGAUCGAUGUAAACCGAUCCGUAGUCCUGGCGAGAGCUAGGCAGGCAGUCCGCUAACCUCUUUGGUUCGCCUUAGGGGAAAGUGGGGCUGUUACAAGUGGUAUCAGAGCCACGUCGCGUGGUCUCUGCGCGAAAUGAGACUGGGCCAAGUGGUGUUGUGGUCCUAAUUUCAUGAAUAUGUUUAAGUGCUCGUUUGAGCAUAAGCUAUGAACCUUGAAGUGUUAUAGGUCUUUAAUCUUUCUCAUGGUAUUUAAGGACCCUAGAUAAGUAUGUCGGACAGGGAUUUUGAUUUGUAGAUGGUUUACUCUUGGGACUGGCCAGCUCGAGAUGUGAACUAUCUUAUUUCGGAUUCUCGUGCCCGAGUACCCCAGAAUUGAGGUGAUGCAAGCUACUAGGUAUUUGAACCCUGUGUUUUGGAAACGAGCCUUGUAUUUUGGAAACGUGAACAGGCUUUGUCUGACUAAAAUGAGCACAAGAGAUCAAUGGACAUCUAGUUUGGAUAGUUAGUGACGUGAGAGACCAGACGGGCUGGUACUGGGAUGACUUUUCGACCGUAUAUUACUAAGUCUAUAUUUGCUUACUUGCUUAUCCGUCUUUUAAUAUAACGUGUUAUAUGCGAUAUGUUAUUGGUAUGAUAGAUUUUGUUAUGUUAGUCAAUUUAUUGCAUUCAUGCAUGGAAGUACCCUUUUGGAAAGAAAAGAAAAAGGGAAAAGAAAAAAAAAAAAACCCGCGGACAUGGUCAUAGCCGUGACACAAAACGAGACCAAGAGUCAAAGAGAAGAAAGGGAGGAAACAACACCUGAACCGAACAUGGACCAAGAGUGCUACUUGUAUUCAAGACUUUCUUAUGAUCCAUUGUUUUGCCAACAGGCUACCAUCUGAGGUCCAGCAACUCUGUAAAAUGGCACGUAGGGUUGAGAUGUAUAAUGAAAUCGGGGGUCUUCGAGACGAAAUAAAAGUCCAAAAAAACCUAGUCGCAUACUGGGAAGGGCGCUGGAAGCACGAGUAUACAGAGAAAAUUGAGCUCCUGCACAAAAACUUAGAGCUAAAAAGGAAAUAUGAAGGGAUUUCCGAGGAGGCCCUGGAAAAGGCUCAAUGCAUCAAGAAUGCAAAGGUGCAAGUGAAAGCUUCCCAAAUACGGAAAAGGGGUGCAGUGGGUAGCGUGAGUGAGGAACCUAGCAAAGCAAUGACACCUUCUAAAAUACAGAAAGUGAACCAGUUAUUCGGGCCGCCAUGGACAAUGGGGGCGGUAGAUAAAAGAUUUGUCAAUGAAAGCCAAACCAGACAGGGGGAGAUUUCUCCGAAAAGCAAAAAAUGACUUUCCACUUGACUUGUGACUAUUGCGGAAAGGCCAAUCACACUGAGAAUGAUUGUUGGAGAAAGGGGAGGAGAUGUCUGCGCUGUGGGAGCAUCGAGCAUCGAAUUGCAUAUUGCCCGAUUAAAGUGCGGAAAAAGAAAAGAACUCAACAACCAACCCAGACCGACCCUGCACCGUCAAGCGGAGAAGGGACUGGAAUGAAGAACCCCGUUUCUUCUGACUCUGAAGACGGAGAAGGUACAGGCCAUUGGUUACUUUAAAUUUGAAGGAAAAUUUCGAGAACGAAAUUCUUUUAAGGGGGGGAGAGUGUGAGAACCCGUAAAACCCUAAUUAUAUUCCUAGGGUUUAUUUCCCCUUAAUAGCAUAUUUUCUGCAUUUUCUGGCUUAGAAAUAUUUUCUUAAUGGAUUUUAUGAGCAAUUAUAGUUUUAAGAUGAUUUUUCUAACAUUGGUGAAUUUUUAGAAAAUUAAGAAUAUAUAUUGGAUGUGGGACCCACUAGUGCGAUAAGUUCGGAAAAAUUCGGCCAAUAAGGUUAAGUUUCGGAUACUGUUAAAAGUUUAUCGGGUAUUAAGAGAUAAGUAGGGUGUGUGAAGUGAUUGAUGUGAGAGAGAAAAGAAUGAUAAGGAUGCAUUUAAUAGAGUGACACAUGUCACAUUCUCAUUGGUUGAACUUUUAAGAAACACUAUUCACAAUUUUGACUUUUUGACCAAAGGAUUAAAUAUCCAAAAAUUCACCAAAAAUCACCAUUUUUCUUCUCUUGUUGGCCGGCUCUCCUUAGCUCAAGAAGGAAGGGAACUUCUUCAUUUUGCAAGCUUCCACUUGGUCCAAUCUACCACAAACCAAAGCCUAGAGUUGAUUUCACUCCAUAAAAACUUUCCUUCUAGUGUUAGUAAGUUGUUUAUUGAAACUUUUUGGAAGAGCUAAGGUGUCCAUCAUCUUCCUCUCUCUUGUUGUUAGGUGAGUGAUGCUUCAACCUUUCUACUACACCUAAUGAUGGUUAUUUUGUGCUUAAUGGUGGCAUGAGUGUUGAAAUAUAUGAUUUGUUUCUUGAUUUGAAGAGUUUUGGUGAAAUUUUUAUUUUAUUGGGAAUUUUUCUGGUUUAAUAUGAUCUUGAUGUUGGGGGCUUGUAUGAUGAAUUGUAAUGGUUGGAAAUGACUCUAGUGAGUGUGAAUUGUGGUGAAAUGCAAUCAAUUUUGGAUUUGGUGUGAAAUUUGAAAAGUUAGGGUUCUUGAACCCCCAAUUCUGUCCGGUUUUAGAUCACUGGGUUAGAGGCCGAAUUUGAUUUUGCUCAAAACAUGAAAGUUGUAGGUAUUGAUGUGUUUGAGGUGCCUGUAAAAUUUCAGAUCAUUUGGAUUAAUGUGGAAUGAGUUAUGACGAAAUUACUGUAGCUGUUCUGCUUUGAGCAGAAUGCGAAAACUGCGAUAGUAAUAGGCCAUUUUGACUGGUUUUGGUUUGGAUUUUGAAGUUGGUGUUUUCUGAUGAACUGUAGCUGGAUGUCUUAGCUAACUUAUGCCUUUGGAAUUUCGGCAUUUGGACUUGUAUGGACUGAGAUAUACCGAUUACAGUUUUCUGUGUUUUGCAAACCUGUUUUGGUGAUUCUGGUUUAGUGUUUGGCAUUUUUGACCUAGUUGGGCCAGAAACUGGAUUGAGUGACCUUCUACAUUGUUGUAGCCCUGUUUCAUAGCUUCGAAACGGUGGGUCUUACACCCCCAUCCGAUAAUUGUAGUGAGAGUUGUGCCAUUACCGCAUUAUGACGUCAAAACCGGUUUUCUUAUCAAGGCCUAAGUUAAAGCCCUUUUCCUAAUUUCUGGUUUCCUAUGAUGCUUAUAUAUGUUUGCAAAACCCUAUUGGGGUUGUGAUUGGCAUUGUUUUGUGACUCGCUAUCGAGUCUCAUUGCAUUUGUUAACGUGUUCUAGGGCGUGACGGUGGUUCACGACAUUCUCCUGACGGAAGUGCAUGAAAUAGCACUUAAUUGAUUGGUGAGUGUACUACUCACUUGUGUGCUAUUAUAUGGCUUUGAUAUUUGAACUUGAGAUGUUGUAUGUUAAUGGAUUGAUGUGAGAGUGUACUUUAUCAUUCUCACUUAUUGUUUCACAUGUUAUUGAAAAGUUAUUGGAAAGUUAUAUGAACUGUUAUAUGAAAUGAAAUACAUGACUUGGUAUCGAUUGGACAAGUAUCCAACGACUACAAAUGUUAUCAUUGAGCUCAACCCCAUUGGUAGUUGAUUGAAUCGAGCCGACAAGGGUUUGGUCGUGACAAUUAAUGAGCAUUGGGUAAAGUUAUAAGGAAUCUUGUAGUAUGAGAGACUCUUGAUUCCGGUAUACUCGAGUAAUACCACAGUGCAAGUGUUUGGAGUGCGGGCCCGGUAGGGGGAUGUUUGGUGGAAGGAAUGGGAGAGAAGAGGAGUCUACGGUUGGUUACUCUUCAACAUUGACGGAGGGUCAAUGAGGUUGGAUCAAGAAUGGAAGCGUGGAAAUGGGCUCUUGAGAGCCGUCCGUAUCCUUUUAUCGAUGUGUUUCAUUCCUUAAUUGUGUACUUGAAAUGAAAGGUUAUGCUAUAUGCUCUUAGUUGCUUAUGUGGUAGUAACUCACUGGGCUUUAGCUCAUCCCGUUCCAUUUGUUUUCCUUACAGGGUUAUAAUUACUUUUGGGACUGAUUUGGAUAGUCUAUUGCCAAGUUGAGCUAGUGUAAAUGGCUUUUGUUUAGCUUGUCGAAUGAAACUCCAUUGUGUAUUGGGUUCAUUUUCUUUGAUUGGCAAACCGAGUAUGUAUAUUCAUGAUAGAUGGUUUUUGGCAUGACACUAUGGUUGUAAAAGUUGAAUUUCAAUGUAUAUAUAUGUUUGGUUGAUGAUUGGAUGGAUUUCGGAUCUAGACGCAUUUCAAACGGAGAAGGAAAAAAAUUUGGCGGGAAUGAACAGGACCGAAUCCGGCCAGAAACUGGCCGGAUUGCCGGCCGGAUUGGGAAGGAUUUUGAAAAAAAUUUUGGAUUGCUCUCGGCCUCGUAUCCGGCCAGAUUCCGGCCGGAUUCUGACGUGUCCGUUACUGUUCAUCUUCGGCUUUGAUUUUCGUUUUUUUUAUUUCGCGAUUUUGACUUGUUUGCGUGCUUCGGUAUGCUCCGGAACGUAAUAGAUCGAUGUAAACCGAUCCGUAGUCCUGGCGAGAGCUGGGCAGGCAGUCCGCUAACCUCUUUGGUUCGCCUUAGGGGAAAGUGGGGCUGUUACAAGAAGCAUCAUUAGUCAAAGAUUAAGGGAAGAAAGGGUCAAAAUUGGGCCAAGUGACCAAACCCUAGCCAUCCACCUUGUUUGACCAAAGGAUUAGAGGAAUUUUAAACCAUCUUUUCUUCAUUUUUUCCUCCAAAAAUUCGGCCAUCUUGAAGCUUUUCAAGGAAGGAAGAAAACUCCAUAUUCUUGCUAUUCCAACCUUAGUUUGAUCUUGAACAAAAAUCAUAAGACUAAGAGCUUGAGUUGGUGAGUGAUUUGCCUUCAACCCUAGAGUGUGUUUUCAAGCUUGAAACUUUUGGUUUGGUGGUUGUUUUGGGUGACUCAAGCUUCUUACAAGAGAGGUAUGUGAUCCUUAAUCUUUGGUUUUAUGGUGUUAUAUCAAGUAUUUAAAGUUUUGAGGGCAAACUAGAGGUAGCAUGGAUGUUGUUUGUGGUGAAAACUCUUGAACUAAACAAGUGGUAGUAGGGUUAGUUAGUUUAUCUACCAUGUGUUUGAUGAAAUGUUUGAGCUUUGUUCAUAGCUUUCCUUCAUGUAUUAACAUGUUUUGGUCCCUUUUGAGUAGAGAUAACACUUGACAUGAUGUUUAAGUUAACUACCAUGUAAGGAUGAAGGUUGGUGAGAUAAAAGAACUAGUGGACUGUUUUGUCUUCCUUGGCUGACCAGCUUUGAAGUGGGAGGUUUCUCCUUGAUUUUGUGGUUCUUUUGCACCUUAUUUAAGCCUAAAAAUCUUGACUAAACAUUGGUUCUUGGUUUGGUGUGAAUUAAUAUGGAAUUUAAGCAAGUAAAGUGGUUGUUUGGACCAUAGUGGACUGAUUUGGCACCUUUGGUUGGCUAGACUAUUUUGAUCCUCUUAAUUAUGUUGUGUAUUGCAUUUUGAGCUCCAAUGAUACUAGAUAACCUGCUCCCCUAUAUAUGAACCAAGGGAUAUUGAAUUGAAUGAAUUUGAGCCAAAACAAGUGAAGUUAGCACUAAGAGCUAGUGCAACUUUACUAGGGUUUAGGGCUGAUCAGGACUGAAAAAUCAGCCAACUUGUCUGAGCUACUGGUACUGAUAGGAGACGAACUAGAGUGUGUAUUUAAUACUGUUGGAAAGCCCUUUGAGUCUAGUUUCCAACGCCAUUGACGGCAUCUGAUUCUGACCUUCCUACAGUGAGAUAUGGCCUUUUUCCCGAGACUGCGUGGGCGCGACUGUUUUACCCGCGAAGAACAUUUUGAGCUUGAAUGGAACUUUUCUUUUACCCAACUUUCUUGCACUUGUCAAACUGUUUUCUCAUGAACUUUUACUGCAUUUUGGAUCUAACUUGUAUGGUGAAUUGAGUAGAUUUAACCACUCACUUGGUCACCUAAUGAGCUCGCAUUUGGCUUGGAAUUAAACUUAGUUUGUUAAUGAUUUCACUCGUUGCCCUAAGAUUGGGAAACGGUGGUGAACGUUACCAAGGGACUUGACGUUUGAACACUUCAUUGCUUGACAGGUGAGUGUUCCAUUACCUAUUAACUGUCUAUGUGAAAAAUCUGUGUACUUGAUUGGUGACUGCUUGAGCCAAACAUUGUUUUGAUAAAAAUUGAGGCGAGUGUGUACUUUAUCACAUUGGACCUCCCUCGAUUCCAUUGAGACUCUAUAUACUGCUAUUAUGAGAUGUGAUUUCUCUAUAUGUGACUGUGUUUGAGUUAUUUGAGUGAUAUCCCAUUAACUACUGCCACUGUUUGGGUACCCAACCUCAUAGGUGAGUCGGUUGUAUCGAGUCAGUAAGGGUUUGGUCGAGAAAACCGACAAACCUUGAGAACUGUUUACUGAAACUGAAAAACGGUAUACUCGAGUAUUACCUACUUACUGUUUGAGGAGUUCGGGCUCGGUAAGGGGGUGACUGGUGGACGGGAAUUGGAGAAAAUGGAGUUCUACAGACAUUGUGUUCUUUAAAUGCAAACGUUGACGGAGAGUCAACAGAUUCUUGUAUGAUCAAGCUCAAGUGGAUUUGGCUUUGGAAGCCACCCGUAUCCUUGAAUUGAACCGUGAUUACAUUGUUGUAGUACAAUACUGUGUUUACUUGUUUAUCUUACAUCUUUAUCUGACUAUGUGCGUAUCUAUUUAUCUGGAACCUCACUGAGAUUUAGCUCACCCCACUCCCUUUGUUUUUCUUAACAGAUGUGGGAUGGACAUAGGGGCAAGAGCUUUCAAAGCUUUAUCUUUUGCUUGAACUUGUACUUCGAGUCAUAACUUUUUUGCUUAAUUGACUUUACUUUUGACUCAUGUAAGUUUGAAUUCAUAAGUUUGACUUAUGUUAUCUAAUUGUAGUGUGGAGUGGUAAGUUUGACAUUUAGCUUGACAUUCUAAGUUUGGCAAGUUGACUUGACGAUUAUAUUAUAUUAGGGUUUGUACGUUCAUGAUUUGAAGUUAUUUCUCUAGUUGUCUUGAGUUGCUAGUUCUUUGAUCGACUGAGUUCCGGUGAGACCUGGGCAGACAGUCCGCUGAUACCCUAGGAUUUGCCCUAGGGAGAGGUUGGGCUGUCACAGUAAACAUGUAGCAAAACUAUUCAAGUCACAAACACCUACAAGGAACACUCACCAAAUCAAAAGUGUAAAACAAGAGCGAGGAAAGAUCAAACGGGUUCCUCGGGAUCCUCUUGAUCACCUGAGACAUGUAUAAUUACAAAUCACUUAGCCAAUCAACCAAGGUCUAGUAGUAUUCCCGAUACUCUCAUUUAAGAGAUAACGCGUUCAAAUCGAAUACAAAUAUCACUUAAUAACUUAAUCCAUGAGGAUAGCAUUUGAAAAUAUCUAAGAAUACAGUAAUCCGAGUCAAGUCAUGUCCAAAAUUCUCCAAGUUGAAGAUUAAACAGAUCUCUAAGUUUUGGCACGAAAAUCAAGAAAGAUAGAGGAUUAGUUUCUUGUCAAAAUUCCCUAGUUGAACACCCAAGUUUCAAGUAUAAGUGAGCUUUCUCAUUUUUCAAACUCAUUUAGUUAAAGUCUAGUAAAACCUCCACCAACAGCUCACUAACUUCUUUAGCCACCAAUUCAAGUUGUACCGUAAAUCGAGUAAAAUUUUCAAGUUCUCUUUUAAUAAAAGCCUCACUCAACGUCCAUUUUCAACGAUUAAAUUGAGGGCAUAUACUCAAGAGACUAUGGCGAUAGAAGCUUUGAUUUUCAAAUAAGGAAGAUAAACAUAUUUUUACUUGGAAAGCUCGGCCAAAACAUUCCGAGUAUUACUAAUUACGUUCACAAGAAACCUUUCAAAUCAUUCUUUUAAAAUACUUGUAUGAUUGCCAACUCUAGUACAAUUAUUAAGGCCAUAAGAAUAGGGGUUGAAGUCUCUAAUUUGAGUACGAAGAGAAGUACCAUUAACCAAGGGAGUUAUAAGACCAAGUAAAUGCAUCAAGAGAGGUUUAACUUUCGGAAACCAAGAUUGGGAAUGAAAGUUCAAAGUUCCAAAGAGACCUUGUAUUAAACCAUGAAAACAAACUUAAAACAGUCCAACAAUCACAAAGGAAUGUGGAAAGUUCUUAAAGGAGUAAUUUGGUUGAAAACAGAAAUUUUUCUAGUUUAGAGUGACACUACUUUGAAAAAUCGUAUCUCGAGUCCCAUAAGUCCAAAAAUGGAAAAAUUUAUACUGUUGGAAACUAGAUCCAAAGUACCAAAAGUUCCUAGAAGAUAUUUUUCCAAGAUUCUAAACGGAAAUCAUCCACCCUUUUCUUUCUUUCCAAACAUUUUGCACAAUGAAAUCAGUUCCAAUUCAGUUCAUUUUUGGAACCAAGGUCCUUUAAACAUUCAACAAGUAAUUGAUGGUUGAUUGACAUCAAAAUUUUCAAUAUAAAACAUCCCACAACAAACUAGACCAGUCGGCCAGCAAGAAGGAAAGGUUUUCCAGUUUUCCAUCUCUGUCACAGUUUGAAAAUUGAACCAUAUCUCACUCAAUACAACUUGAAAUUAAGAAUGGUUGCUGGUGUUGGAAACUAGAUUCCAAAAGCUACAUUUCAUCAGAAGAAAAUGUUUCCAAACUCAGUUCACAAAUAGUUCAAAUUUAAGCCACAAAUUGCAGCUUCUCAUGUCCAUUCGAAUGGGACAGGCAGAAUAGGCAGAAUAGGCAGAACAGAAUAGCCGAUUUUAUCAAUUCAUUACAGUUUACUCAAUUUGAACUAGAAAGUGAUUUUUAUACCGUUAGAAAGCUAUGGAUGUCUUGUUUAGAAUGCCACUGACGGCACUCAAUUUUGACUUCCAUACAGAGAGCUAUGUUCAAUCAAAGAUGCACUGUUUGGGCAUUUUGUUUACAAUUUCCAGGUUCCUUUCAAUUUCGAAAUUCCAAGUUUUGUUCAACCAAAUGAAAUGAUUUUCAGACGACACUUUGUACACACAAUAUACCACAUAUAACAACCAAUUUUACAGCCAACAAACAUCAAAAAUUUCGAGAUAACCACAGACCAAACAAGAACAGAAUUUCGGACAGCACCUCUUCCUCACGAUUUCUCUCUUUCUUUCUCCUCUUCUAGUUUCUUCCAUUAAAACUCAUCACAAACACACUAACACACACAUAAAUAUCAUGGCAGCCCUCAUUUAACCAAGGUGGGAGUUCAUAAAACCCACUUCAACCAACCAAAUCCAAGCAACAAAAAGAAUAAGGAAGCUACAAGCUUCAAAACCAAGAAAUGAAACAAGAAAGCAAGAGUUUUGGUGAGAAAUGUUUAUACCUUCAAAACCCAAGAAUAAACCCUAUAUUUUUGUUGUGAGAAACUCCUUAAAACAGCCCCUAACCAGCCGCCCCUCUCUUCCCUUCAAGCUAGAGCAAGAACCCAAGGAGCUUGAUGGUUGGAUGAUGUUUUGCAAGCAAAAUGGAAGCUAGAAGUGAGGAGUUCUUUUCUUCCUUUUUUUAUCUUGAGGGCUAGCCGAAUGGAAUGAGAGAGAGAAGGGUUUGGUGGUCCAAUUCUUGGAGAGCAAGAAUGAAGAAUUGUGUUGAAGAAGCUAACUUAAAGUUGGUGCACAAAGUCAACCCUUAAUAGUGACUCGAUAGGGUUUCGUACUACCACUUUCUCUCUCGUUUGGUACACUUAUGCAUUAAUCUACCAAGGUACCUCCUUUAAUAUGGUAAUUACUCACCCUUAGUAGUUUAGUAUUAAUUUCUCAAAUUUCUAAUUAAUCGUACCGGCGCAACUUUCUGGAACUAUUGACGCGCGCGCGGUAAAAGUUUAAUUUGAACUCACUCACAUCAAAUCCCUCAAUUAACUUUUCUUAGUCUACUAUUGAUCAUGUGACGCCCCCACUUCUCCCAAGAGCGAACUCAAGGGUAUCCGCGGGACGCCUGCCCAGUUCUCGUCAGGACUCGAGACAAUUUCAAUUCAAACUUAAAAUCUAAUACUAACAAUGAAAAUUGGAAUAAAAGUACGAAGUCAUUUCCAUACUUAAAUAUUCAAUCUUACAUCACAAUUUCAAAUUUACAAUUACUUUUUCCAAAAUAUAUAACUUCCAAAAGUUGUCUAAACAAAUACAUUCAAAAUUUUAAUCAAAUGGGCCACCAAGUAAACUUCUCCAUAAUUCCUCCCAUAUCCGCUCCUAUUAAGGAAAAUAAAUCUAACGGGGUGAGCGAAUGCUCGUGAGGCCAAGAAAACAUCCAAGACACGUAGUUCAAUAACAAUAGCACUUACACAAUAAUGAAAACUAUAACAUUCAAAUAAUUCAUAAUUUAUAAUAAACACACUUGAGUAGGAUGCAGGAGCUCUCAGGAGCUAAUUUUCAAUUGUUUUACCCAAGUUCAAUUUAAUACCUUCUCGUGAUGGCACCUCGUCACCUGGGUAGGUAAUCAAAUUCGUAGCACUUCAUUUAUUCCAUUUAUAUUUCUGAGACGACUCAAGAGGUACCUCCCACCCAAAUCGGUGUGGUACUUGCUAUCGCUCAAUUUUCUAGUUCUGAGAUGACUCGAAAAGUACCUCCCACCUGAAUCGGUGUGAUACUUACUAUUUUUCAGAGGUUUAGGGUACUGAAACGACUCGAGAGGUACCUCUCACCCGAAUCGGUGUGGUACUCACAAUCGUUCAGUGGUCGAUGAGGCAUCGCUCCAAUCGACUUAUGCAGCCAUAGCAUAAUUUAUCAUUUCAUUCAAUCAUUCAUUUCAUUUCAAUCAAGUCAUUCAUGAUUUAGUCAUUUCAAUUCAAUCAAAUCAUUCAUGAUUCAUUCAUUUCAUUUCAAUCAAGUCAUUCAUGAUUCAUUUAAAUGAGACCGAGUGCAGUAAAGUACACACUCGACUCAGCAUUUUCAAAAUCUCCAAUCACUAAUAACAAUUAAGCACGUAUCAGGUUUACAUACACUUGACACUCACCAAGUAAACAAGGAAGAAAUGUCACUUAAAGUUCAGGCAUUCACCGUGGGAUCCUCUUGAAGGUUCUCGUGCGAGCUUGAGCAAUUAAUAGUGAACUAUCAUGUAUAAACCCCAAUUAUCAUGAAUGAUUGUACACUUAUACAAUCUAAAAAAAUUUCACGAAAGCGAGCUUAAAUUACUCGCGAAUCAAGGCUCAAAAGUGGGGUUAUUAAAACACAAGAGAAAUUGAGUUUUCAUUUUUGAAAUCAAGUGUAAACGUUUAAGUGAUAUCGAGGGGAAAAGGAGAAUUCGAAAAACUCCAUUUCCUUAAGUUUCAAAAUUCUAGUUUUGAUACGAGAUUUUUGAAAAAUCGUAUUUUACUCUUUACAAAUCCAAAAUUGGAAAACUUGGUACCGUUGGAAACUUCUUCCAAAGUACUAAAAGUUCCUAGAAUAUACUUUCCCAUGAUUCCUAGCGGAAGGCAUUCAAAAAUUGGUUCAAAUUUACUGUUUUAGGCUUGCGAGACAGUUUUGAGAUUGGUUUUUCGCCAAUUUUGGAAAUUCGGAAAAAUUCACAGAAUUUGAACUAAUCUCUCAGAUUUGAAACUCAAUUAGAGUUGCAAUCAAAGUUUAAAACAAAACAAGUGAAACAAGAAUCGGAGUUUUGAGCACCAAGAUAUAGUGGCUGAAAGUUGAUGAAAAAUUGAGACGGUUAGGCAAAUUUCCAGGUUCCAUUUACAAACUUUGGGACUUUGUUUGAGCAUCGAAAUGAACUCGGAAUGGUACCAAAUUUGGUAGUAUUAUACUACCAUAUGAGGCCUAUUCCUCUAUCAAUUUUCAUGGAAAAAUACGCACGGAAAGUUGUUAACCAGAUCACCAAAAUUUUCAAAUUUGUAAGGCAAAUCUGCCUUGUACAUGAGUUUUCCGUUUUCAAAACGUUUGGUCAACAAAAAUGUCUCAAACACGCUCCCUUUGUGUAGAUAAUGUCUAAGAAACAUCCAAGAUGCAUUUGGUAGGUGAUUAACACCAAGAAUUUCGAAACAAGCCCCAAUCAAGAUUUAGACAUUUAUUAGCCAAACGAGGGUUUCAAAUCAUUGAGUUAGUUUCGGAUUUUUACCACAACUCACUCAAUUCAACUUGGAAUCGAGCGUCGUCAUUGGCGUUGAAAACUAGAUUCGUAAAUCUAUAAUUUCUUAGAAGAAAUUGUUCUCAAAAUCUGUCCACAACUAGCUCAUAUUUGAGUAUCAAUCCGCUGCUCAAAACAGAGCUCCCACUGUAAAUGCGAAACAGGACAGUCAUGUUCAAAUGAUUGGUAUCGACUACUCAGGUGGAAUAAGAAUGUACAUUUUUUACCGUUAAAAUCUGGGAAUAUCUAGUUUCCAGUACGGCAAAUGGCAUUCGAUUUCGACAUCGGAGCAAAAAGUUAUUGCCAUUUGAAAAACAUUGCCAGAGCAGUUUCGGGAGAAAUUCCAGUUUUACUGGACUUUCGAAAACUCAACAUCUACCCAUCCAAAUCCCGAACUUUUUUGAUAAAACUUUCUACACAAUCCACACAACUGUAUACAUCAUAAACAAGUCAUUAGAACCACAAAAAUUUGCUCUAAGGGCCACGGCAUGUACAGGGGCAGAAAUGGUAAAAUUCUCCCCUUCACUUCCUUUGAGCUUUCAUCCAUAAUAUCACUCAUUUCUACUAAUUUAAGCAUUAAUCCAGCAUUAUUAACAUCAAAACUCACAAAAUCAGUCCAUCAAACCAUAGUGGGAGUUCAUAGAGCCCACUCACCAAUUUUCGAACAAUUUAAGCUACCCAUAAGAAAUUAUGAACUCAUAAGUGCUAAACAACUUCCAUAAGUCAAGAUUUUCAAGAUUGAUCGUCACUUACUUUCCUAGAUGAUUUAAGGCAGAAUUUUCGGUCCUCCUUGCUCAAGAAAAAUCGUGGAUUUGAAGCUCUUUUUGUAGCUUGAGUUGCUCUCCUAGUAGACUGCAAAGUGUGGUUAAAGUUUGAGGUGAUUUAGUAAAGGAUUGAAGAAAUGAAGAGGAGUUUUGGUAAGUUUCUCCUCCUUGUUGUUCGGCCAGCAAGAGCAAGAGAGAGAGGGUUGUGUGCUGAUGAGAAAGCUUCUUGAGAAAGCUUAAGUGUGUGGUUAAAUUGGCCUCAAAAGUCAACUCUCUCCCCGCGCGCACAAGCGCGUUUUGUGCUCGAUUCCUCUCGAGUUUAUUUCACUUGUGCACUAAACGUUUAAUGCACUUUCAUUCAUAUUAUUAUUAUUCUCUUUUAAUAGUCUAACAAUAAAGGUCUAAAGUCCCUCAAUUAAUCACGCGCGUAAAAACGCGUACUUCCGAUUUUUGCGCGAUAAAAUGAAAUUUUCAAGAAAUUCUUAUAACGAUUGUAUCACUAACUAAUAAUUGAGCACUUAAACAUGAAAAUACCUAUUUUAAGGCUAAUGUACAAGUUUUCAAUUUUCCAAACUUAUUGUAUUCUCGAAUCGAUUAUUGACUUCGAUCGCGUAUUCACUAUUUUCACUUAACGAGGUUCCAAAAAUUAAAUUUUGAAACAAGUCACUUUAAAAAUAUAACUAAGCCAUGGAUCCAUAUAAUUAGGUCUAAAAAGGUUAGAAAAUAAUAUUCGGAGCAAUUGGCCAAAUAAAUAAUUAAAUGAGCUAGAAUUAGGAGUAUAAAAUAGAUAAAUUUUGUGAGUCUUCACAUCCUCUCCCCCUUAAGAAAAUUUCGUCCUCGAAAUUUUCCUUGAUCUCCGAACAGGUCUGGAUACUUUUCUCGAAUUGCUUCUUCAACUUCUCAGGUUGAUUCCUCUAGCCCGUGGUUCCUCCAAAGAACUUUUACUAACAGUAUCCGUUUAUUCUCAAUACUCAUCUUCCUAUCCAGAAGUUUUACCGAUUUCUCCUCAUAGGUCAAAAUCUCAUCAAUUUCAAUAUUUUUCGGUUGCAAAAUAUAAGAAGGGUUUGGAUGGUACUUCUUAAGCAUAGACACGUAGAAUACGUUGUGAAUCUGAGAUAGGCUCGGUGGCAAUUCCAACUUAUAUGCUACAUUCCCCACGCGUUGAACAACCUUAUAAUGCCCUACAAAUCUCGGUUGUAACUUCUUUUCCUUCCCAGACAUUAAACUUGCUUUUAGAGGUGUAAUCUUAAGAAACACUAGAUCCCCAACCGUAAAUUUUAAAUCCUUCCUCCGAUUAUCCGGAUAGCUCUUUUGACGACUCUCUGCGGUCUGAAUUCUCUGGCAUACUAACUUCACUUUCUCAUUAGCUUCCUCAAUCCAAAACACUGUAGUCGGGUCUAAAAUUCUUCGUUCACAUAUUUCAUCCCAACAAAUCGAAAAUCUACACUUCCGACCAUAAAGUGAUUCAUAUGGAGCCAUUUGAAUAGAAGAGUGAAAGUUAUUAUUAUAUGCAAAUUCUACCAAAGUCAAAAAACUUACUCCAGUUCUCCCAUUCAAAACUCACAUUUAUGGAACUUAACUAUUCUCAAGUGCCAUUCAUGAUCUUAUUACUGGUCUUGAGACAUAGAGCAACAGAUUACAGAUACAUAUAAGCUGUAAAAUCAAUUAAAAGCAAGGUAAAUUUUCAUAUACCAUAAAAGAUCAUAAUAGUUAUACUAAAUUAUAAUAAGUUCAUCAAAUCAUUUCAAAAGAAAAGGGGAAUCAACAAGAUCAAAACGUGUUAAGUCGCAAUAUACAUCAAAAGGAUGUCAUCCCCUAUAGAGAAGAUUACACCCUUUAAAAGUGCCAGUUUAGACUAGGGUGAAACUACAAUUUCUAUUUCUCAAGUGGAGUUAGAUUUACUCCUACUCAUAGAGUUUCUACUACUUGGAUCUCUCUUACAGCAUUAAUUACUCCUUCUGGCACUCGACUGAUUUUGCAGUGGAUUUAGCAGGUUGUUUAGAAUUUCCUUUUCCCUUAGAAGUUUUAGGGCAAUUUGAAAACUUAUACUCGGUACUACCGCAGCUCAGACAUUUUCCUUGUUUCCUCCAGCACUCGGCCUCAGUGUGGUUAAUCUGGCCACAGUAUCCACAAGUUACGUGAGGAGUCACGGCUUGACCAGUUUGAGAUUUCCUUAUUUGUUGAUCUCGUCCACUCCGAUUUCCUUUUGGCAGGGCUUUGCUUGAUGGAGUUUCUCCGAGUUUUUCAUGCAUCUUCACUCCUCCAACCCUUUUUUCCAUAUUAAGGGGUUGGGUAGACUUCUCGGACGGUUUACGGAUAUCACUUGGAUUACUCCUCUUUCUAGCAUGAAAAGUUUUAGAUUGAGACUUAGCAUUCUCUAUCCUCUGUGACUUAUCCAAGACAUCCGUAAAAGUGGUAAUCUGGGCAGCUGCUAGGAAUUCUUGAAUUUCUUCUCCUUAUCAUUUUCUGUUCGGUGAGUACAAGCUCAGGGGCAAAUUUGAAAAGUUUAGUGAACCGCUCCUCACACUCGGCCACACUUAAUAACCCUUGUUUUAACUUAAUAAAGUUGUCCUCCCUCUUUUCUUGUAUAAUUGGCGGGAGGACUUGAUAUUAAACUCCCUCUCAAAGUUUACCCAAAUCUAAGGGAUUUGUUCUCUUUCUCACUUUGCACUAACAACAUUCCACCAUGAGCGUGCCGCCCCUUCAAAUUAGAAAACGGCAAAAUUCACUUGCUUUUUCUCGAUAUAAUCUAAAGUAGCAAAAAUAUCAACCAUCUUUUCAAACCAAUUUUUCCUACUUCGGGGUCAGACCUUCCAUGGAACUUAGGGGAAAUGAACUUCAAGAAUCGCUCAAGAGCUCUAUCCUCACCCCUCUCCUGGGUCCUAGGUUGGUCGACUAAGCGCUCAAAAAUAUCGGUCAUACGGUUAAUGGCCGUAGCCAUUUGAUCACCCUCUUCGUUUCUAGGGUUUUGGUUUGGUCCAGUCGCUGACCCCUCACCUCUCUCGGGAGUGCGGGGUUACCGAAACCCACACCCACAACCCCAUCCACGUCCUUUCUGAUUCAUUUAGCAAGUUUCUAAACACAUAAUUGAAGUAGAAAGUAUAAGCAUGUGAAUCGGAAAAACAGGUACACAUUGCAAGAACAUUUUAAAUCAAAGCAUGGCUAUUUGCAUAAGUUAGAAGUCAUGUCACAUGUCGAUGUGCAUACAACGAGUUAAUAGUAUCAAAUACAGGUCAUAGGCAACUAAGUGCCACCAAUAUAGUACUUGCAGGCAAAAUACAAAAGACCUCACGGUGAGCACCACCCCUACUAUACUAGGCAGGAUCAAAAGAAAAAUCAUAAACCUAGUUAGGGACAAAACUAGAAGAAUCCAUGAUACCAAACCACAUCAUUCAAAUGAUUAUAAACUCCAAAUUGCACUCAAAAGUCUGAGCUACCUCCUAAAUUCUUAGCCUCCUCACUCGAUUCAAGGUAAAAGUUCUUAUACAAGUUAGGGUGAUAAGUCAAACCAAACGGAAUGCAAAGAUGUCUUAUUUUCAAGUUCAAAGUGGAGCCCAAAAUUGUUCAAAUGGUUCAACUUUUCUUUCGAAAUGGUCGACAAGCAAAAGAGUGGAAAAACAAGGAUUCUAACCCUUAAACUCACUAGAUAACUAUUUAGAUUUUCUAAUCUUGACCCACUUCCAACCUAAUUUGAAGAGUAAAGUCUUAUAGCGUUUUGUGAGCAAAAAUGGUGCUACAACCUCAAGCACCAAAAUCACGUUACACUUAAUACACAAUCAAAUCCUACAGUCCGGCAUCCUACACUUUUAGGCCUAAGAUACAUUACAAAAAUCUAAAGCCUAAGCUCUGAUAUCAACUGUGACGUCCCCACUUCUCCCAAGGGCGAACCCAGGGGUAUCCGUGGGACGCCUGCCCAGUUCUCGCCAGGACUCGAGACAAUUCCAAUUCAAACUUAAAAUCUAAUACUAACAAUGAAAAUCGGAAUAAAAGUAUGAAGUCAUUUCCAUACUUAAAUAUUCAAUCUUACAUCACAAUUUCAAACUUACAAUUACUUUUUCUAAAAUAUACAGUUUCCAAAAGUUGUCUAAACAAAUACAUUCAAAAUUCUAAUCAAAUGGGCCACCAAGUAAACUUCUCCAUAAUUCCUCCCAUAUCCGCUCCUAUUAAGAAAAUAAAAUCUAACGGGGUGAGCGAAUGCUCGUGAGGCCAAGAAAACAUGCAAGACACGUAGUUCAAUAACAAUAGCACUUAUACAAGAAUGAAAACUAUAACAUUCAAGUAAUUCAUAAUUUAUAACAAACACACUUUAGUAGAAUGCAGGAGUUCUCAGGAGCUAAUUUUCAAUUGUUAUGCCCAAGUUCAAUUUAAUACCUUCUCGUGACGGCAUCCCGUCACCCGGGUAGGUAAUCAAAUUCGUAGCACUUCACUUAUUCCAUUUAUAUUUCUGAGACGACUCGAGAGGUACCUCCCACCCAAAUCGGUGUGAUACUUGCUAUCGCUUAAUUUUAUAGUUCUGAGACGACUCAAGAAGUACCUCCCACCCGAAUCAGUGUGGUACUUACUAUCGUUCAGAGGUUUAGGGUACUGAGACGACUCGAGAGGUACCUCCUGUGACGCCCCGAAAAGUAGGGUUUUUCAUUUUAUGUAUAUUUUGUUGGAAGAGCGGAGGAUCGCAGUUUUGAUCUGAAAAAAAAAAAGAAAAAAGAAAAAAAUUUUGGAAAAAUGAAGUGGCCAAAUCCGGCCGGAAAUCCGGCCAGUUUCUGGCCGGAUAGCUGGCCGGAUUGCCCUGCAGUUUUGAAAAAAUUUUGAUCAGCCUCGGCCUUGUAUCCGGCCAGGAAUCCGGCCGGAAAUCCGGCCAGAUUUUGGCCGGAUUGUGACAUGUCACAGCCGGUCAGCUUUGACCGGCUGCCUUUUCUUCCUUCUUAUCUCAUUGUUUUGGCCAAAAUAUCUCAUUUUUCUUCCCUGGUUCAUCCGAGCUUCAUAGAGAGAAAUACUCUCAAUUUUCCUAGUUCAAUUUUUGGCAAAUAUCUUGAGUUUUAACCAAUGAUUUUGCAAACUAUUUCACACAAGGGUGCACUAUGGUGGUGUAAAGCUUUUGAUGGAUUGGGUUUUGAAGGGAAGCUCUAAGUUGGUAGCUCUCUUGCAUUUGAGGUAAGUUGAAUAAACAAGUUCCUUUUGGUUCUAAUAUUAAUUAAUUUAGGGUUUGUGAUGUUUAAAUGUGUUGUAUUAUGGAGUAUUUCAUGGGUUUGAGUUAAGUUGGUCCAAUUUCUGAUUUAUUGGAUAUUUUUCUGAUUUUAUAUGAAAGUUAUGAUUAGUGUUGGAGUGAUGGAUUGAAAUGGUGUUAAUUGAAGCUCUUAUGCGUUAAUUGUGAUUGUUUGCGGAAAAUUUCCGCUUGUGAAGUGAAUUUCUGGUUUCUUGGGUUUCAAUUUGGGAAUUUGCUAAUGGUUGGCCUUUAAGCUUUUAUUUGGCUUUGAUUGAAGGAAGUUAUGGCUUAAUUAAUUGUAAUGGUAUUGUUUAUGAACCAUAUGGGUGACUGUGGAUAAUUGUUAUGAGAGUUGGUAUUUAAAUGGUAGGUUGAAAAUGUGUAAAAUAUAGGGGUUAUGCCGUCCAAUUUUUGAGAGUACGUGUUUGUUUUGAAUUUGAAUUGAUCUUGAUUCAUUUUAUGGAAAAUUCUUGUGAUUUGGACAUUGGGAGGAUUAAGUUCCAUAUUAGUGACAUGUCUAAACUUUGUCUAAGUUCAUUCAUCCUUGUUUUGGCAUGUACAUGACUAGUAUAGGCUAGUCUCAUGUUAAGUGGGGAUUUCUAGCCCUCAAUUGUGGUUAAUGAUGGAUAUUUGCAAAGAUUGGUUUGGAGGUGUAAUUUCAGCUUUUGUGGUAUUAUUUCUGCCCUCAUGUGAUAAGUGGUAGUUGUCCAUAGCAUGAUAGUGGAUAUUGGGAUAAAUGAAGUUUUGGUAUACUAGUUUGGAUUACUUAAAAGAAUUUUCAGCUAGAGUACAUGAAUUCCAGCUUAAGGUUAAUCUGCCCUGUUUUUGUACUGUACAUUUGACCAUGUUAAAGACUGAAUCAGCCCUUCCUCAAAACAAGAAACUUGUAGAUAUAUGAGUUAGCUAGUUACCUGCAAAAGUUCAGAGUGAUUGGAGUACUGUAGCUUGUGAAUUGACCAAAAUACCCAUGACUGCCCCGUGACCCCUGUUUUAUGACAGUUUUCGCUCUUCCUUCUAGAUUUCGAUAUUUGACCCUAAUAUUGUACGUUUUGACUUUGGAAGUCUUCAUAAGAAAUGUUGGUAUAUGUCUUAGCUUCGUAACGCCAUAAGAAUCGUUUCAAUCGGAUAAGUGUAGUUUCAAAUGUGAUUAAAAUGCCAAAAGGUGGCAGGAACUUGUUAAGUUUCCUUGUAUUUGACAUGCUAUUCGUAAUUUAGGACUUUGACUUGUGCAAAGCAAUGAGGUACUAUGGAUGGUUCCUGAGCUGUGGUUUGGUGAGUGACCUCAAACUACUUCUAAAGUUAAUUAUGAACCGUUUCCUGCGUUACUUACGUUUGAACUGUUUCCAAAGUUAUUUUGAAAUGUUUUCUUGCAUAUCAUGCGUGCUGGCAUGUGAGUGUGCCUUGUUUGCUAUAUUUCUUGACUCCAUGACUUGUAAGGUGUUAAGUGCUUUAAAUGAUUUCAAAAAUGAGAUUUCUAGGCGAGUGUGUACUUUAUCGCACUCGACCUAAAUAAAUGUGAAAUUUUAAUGAUUAAAUGAUUAAAUGCUAGUUGCGCAUGUAUGUAAGCCUUUUGGGCUGAACUGGCCACUGCCCUUGUUACCGGUCGUCUCGAGCCAGAAGCGGACUCGGUCGGGCGACUAGGAACCUGGGUGAAUGAUCCGGUAUACUCGAGUAUUACCUUGUAGGUUGGUGGAGCCUGGCCAAAAGCCAGGGACGGGGUGAAUGAAUGAAUGACCGAAUGAGCGAGGGAAUGUCAGGAGAACGAAUGUAUCCUUUUCAUGAAUGUUACUAUCGCUUUUUAUGUUUCUUGAAUCAUUGAUAUAUGGCAUCAUUUAAAUGAAUUAUUGUACAACUGAUUCGAUAACUGAUUUUAUUGGUUACUCGCUGAGCUUCUAGCUCACCCCAAAAAUGUUUUAUUUCCCCCCCCACAGGGCUCAAGACGAAGAUAAGGCUUGUAGUGCUUAUUCCUGCGAGUGGAUGGAUUAUCGUGUGUAUGGUUAGAAUUUGGAUUUCCUGUUGUGUAAUAGUUAAUAUUAAGGAUUGUAUUGAACAUUUGGAAUUGAUUGGAUGUGUAAUAGUCUAGUUUUGGACCUCCUCAUGUAUGAUAGUUGGUGUCAAGGAUCAGAGUAGCGCAGCGGAUGCGUGGACGCUUCGCUUUUGAUAUGUAAAUGUUUGAAUAUUUGUUUGAUAUUUGAGAUUUUAUCUUGUACUUGUUUGAGGUUUGUAGUGAUCGACUGAGUCCCGGCGAGAGUUGGGCAGGCGGCCCGUUGACCCCUUUGGUUCGCCUUAGGGGAAAAUGGGGUCGUUACACCUCCCACCCGAAUCAGUGUGGUACUUACAAUUGUUCAGUGGUCGUUAAGACUCCGCUCCAAUUGACUUAAAUACUUUAUGCUUCUGAGACGACUCGAGAGGUACCUCCCACCGGAAUCGGUGUGGUACUUACUAUCGUUUAGAGGUUUAGGGUACUGAGACGACUCGAGAGGUACCUCCCACUCGAAUCGGUGUGGUACUUACUAUCGUUCAGAGGUUUAGGGUACUGAGACGACUCGAGAGGUACCUCCCACCCGAAUCGGUGUGGUACUCACAAUCGUUCAGUGGUCGAUGAGGCAUCGCUCCAAUCGACUUAUGCAGCCAUAGCAUAAUUUAUCAUUUCAUUUAAUCAUUCAAUACAUUCAACCAUUCAUUUCAUUUCAAUCAAGUCAUUCAUGAUUCAGUCAUUUCAAUUCAAUCAAAUCAUUCAUGAUUCAUUCAUUUCAUUUCAAUCAAGUCAUUCACGAUUCAUUUAAAUGAGACUGAGUGCGGUAAAGUACACACUCGACUCAGCAUUUUCAAAAUCUCCAAUCACUAAUAACAAUUAAGCACUUAUCAGGUUUACAUACACUUGACACUCACCAAGUAAACAAGGAAGAAAUGUCACUUGAAGUUCAGGUGUUCCCCGUGGGAUCCUCUUGAAGGUCAUCAUGCGAGCCUGAGCAAUUAAUAGUGAACUAUCAUGUAUAAACCCCAAUUAUCACAAAUGAUUGUACACUUGUACAAUCUAAGAAAAUUUCACGAAAGCAAGCCUAAAUUACUCGCGAAUCAAGACUCAAAAAUGGGGUUUUGAAAACACAAGAGAAAUCGAGUUUUCAUCUUUGAAAUCAAGGGUAAACGUUCAAGUAAUAUCGAGGGGAAAAGGAGAUUUCGAAAAACUCCAUUUCCUUAAGUUUCGAAAAUUUCAGUUUUGAUACGAGAUUUUUGAAAAAUCGUAUCUCACUCUUUGCAAGUCUAAAAUUGGAAAAAUUGGUACCGUUGGAAACUUCUUCCAAAGUACUAAAAAUUCCUAGAAUACACUUUCCCAUGAUUCCCAACAGAAGGCAUUCAAAAAUUGGAUCAAAGUUACAGUUUUAGGCUUGCGAGACAGUUUUGAGGUUGGUUUUUUGCCAACUUUGGAAAUUCGUUAAAAUUCACAGAAUUUGAACUAACCUCUCAAAUUUGAAACUCAAUUAGAGUUUCAAUCAAAAUUUAAAACAAAACAAGUGGAACAAGAAUCGGAGUUUUGAGCACCAAGAUAUAGUGGCUCAAAGUUGCUAAAAAAUUGAGACGGUUAGGCAAAUUUUCAGGUUCCAUUUACAAACUUUGGGACUUUGUUUGAGCAUCGAAAUGAACUCGGAAUGACACCAAAUUUGGCAGUAUUAUACUACCAUAUAAGGGAUAUUCCUCUAUCAAUUUUCAUGGAAAAAUACGCAUGGAAAGUUGGUUAACUAGAUCACCAAAUUUUCCAAAUUUUCAAGGCAAAUCUACCUUGUACAUGAGUUUUCCGUUUUAAAAACGUUUGGCCAACAAAAAUGUCCCAAACAUGGUCCCUUUGUGUAGGUAAUGUCUAAGAAACAUCCAAGAUACAUUUGGUAGGUGAUUAACACCAAGAAUGUCGAAACAACAAGCCCCAAUCAAGAUUUAGACAUUUAUUAGCCAAAAGAGGGUUUCAAAUCAUUGAGUCAGUUUCGGAUUUCGGCCACAACUCACUCAAUUCAACUUGAAAUCAAGUGUGGUUCAUGGGUUUGAAAACUAGAUUCACAAAGCAAUAAUUUCUUAGAAGAAAUGAUUUUCAAAAUCUGUCCACAGCUAGCUCAUAUUUGAGCAUCAAUCCGCUGCUCAAAACAGAGCUCCCAGUGUAGACGCGAAACAGGACUGUCAUGUUUAAAUGAUUGGUAUGGACUAUUCAGGUGGAAUCAGAACAUGCAUUUUAUGCUGUUGGAAAUCUAGAAAUGUCUAGUUUCCAGUGCCACAAAUGGCACUCGAUUUCGACAUCGGAACAAAAAGUUAUAGCCGUUUGAAAAACACUGCCAGACCAGUUUCGGGAAAAAUUCCAGUUUUACUGGACUUUUGAAAACUCAACAUCUACCCAUCCAAAUCCUGAAAUUUUUUGAUGGAACUUUCUACACAACCCACACAACAUGUAUAUAUCAUAAACAAGUCAUUAGAACUACAAAAAGUUGGUCUAAGGGCCACGGCAUGUAUAGGGGCAGAAAUGAAAAAAUUCUCCCCUUCACUUCCUUUGAGCUUUCAUCCAUAAUAUCACUCAUUUCUACUAAUUUAAGCACUAAUCCAACAUUAUUAACAUUAAAACUCAUAAAAUCAGUCCAUCAAGCUAUAGUGGGAGUUCAUAGAGUCCACUCACCAAUUUUCCAACAAUUUAAGCUACCCAUAAGAAAUUAUAAACUCAUAAGUGCUAAACAACUUCUAUAUGUCAAUAUUUUCAAAGUUGAUCGUUACUUACUUUCCUAGAUGAUAUAAGGCAGAAUUUUCGGUCCCCCUUGCUCAAGAAAAACCGUGGAUUUGAAGUUCUUUUUGUAGCUUGAGUUGCUCUCCUAGUAGAUUGCAAAGUGUGGUUAAAGUUUGAGGUGAUUUAGUGAAGGAUUGAAGCAAGAAAUGAAGAAGAAUUUUGGUAAGUUUCUCCUCCUUGUUGUUCGGCCAGCAAGAGCAAGAGAGAGAGGGUUGUGUGCUGAUGAGAAAGCUUCUUGAGGAAGCUUAAGUGUGUGGUUAAAGUGGCCUCAAAAGUCAACUCUCUCCCCGCGCGCACACGCGCGUUUUGUGCUCGAUUGCUCUCGAGUUUAUUUCACUUGUGCACUAAACCUUUAAUGCACUUUCAUUUAUAUUAUUAUUAUUUACUCUUAACAGUCUAACAAUAAAGGUCUAAAGUCCCUCAAUUAAUCGCGCGCGUAAAAACGCGUACUUCCGAUUUUUGCGUGAUAAAGCGAAAUUUUAAUGAAAUUCUUAUAACGAUUGUAUCACUAACUAAUAAUUGAGCACUUAAAUAUGAAAAUACCUAUUUUAAGGCUAAUGUACAAGUCUCCAAUUUUUCAAACUUAUUGUAUUUUCGAAUCGAUUAUUGACUCCAAUCGCGUAUUCACUAUUUUCACUUAACGAGAUUCUAAAAAUUAAAUUUUGAAAAAAGUCACUUUAAAAAUAUAACUAAGCUAUGGAUUCAUAUAAUUAGGUCUAAAAAGGUUAGAAAAUAAUAUUCGGGGCAAUUGGCCAAAUAAAUAAUUAAAUAAGGUAGAAUUAGGAGUUUAAAAUAGAUAAAUUUUGUGAGUCUUCACAGAUCAUUCUUAAUUCUCCAAAACUAAUGCACUCUCGAAUCGAAUAUUAUAUUAAAAAACGUGUACUCGUUAUUUCUCGCUAAACGAGCAGUCGAAAAAUUAAAUUUACUAACGAAACGUUUUAAAAUUAUAAAAGGGACAUUUUUCAUACAAAUGGACUUAAAACGGGUGAAAUAAAUUAUUUGGGGUAAACGGGUAAAUAAAUAAUUAAAUAGGCCAGUAAAAUAAAAUAAAAAUAAGAAAAAAAAUCGGGUCCUCACAAAUUUUCUAUCAAACUCAAUAUGUAGAUCAAUCUCAACUCUUCUGAAGUUGUCAUUUUCAUCUUUCAGAUUUUUGUUUUGUCGAAAAUGGUUUACAUUGUUUUGAAUGAAAAAAUUGAUCUUUUGUUUUAGUUCCUUGUUUCUAGUAUAGGAUUCUUUCAAACUAUCAUGCAGUCUCUCAAUGAAGGAAUUAACAUUAUUAUCAGAUUCAUCAUCACUAUUAAAUUGAAAGUUGCAAGUAGUUAUCUCAUUAUCACCAAUGGCCAUGAAAGCUAUUUGAGCAGAUUCUUUUUCCUCUUCAACGUCACCAUCUGAGUUGCAAUCAUUCUAAGUGAUUUGGAAGUUGUUGAAUUUUGGUUUUCGUUCAGUUUUUUCAUCCAUUUUUUUCUUCAUUAGGCACUCACUCAUGUAGUGUCCAAGUUGGCCGCAUUCAAAAUACUUGUCAGUUUGUUUUUUAUUUGCCUCUUGCUUUCCUUUGUUUCUUCCAUUGUUGAAUUGAUUCAAAAAUGUAUUGCUGGGUCCUCCUUUUCUGAAUCUCCUUUUGUUGAGAAUUCUCUUGAAACUUCUUGUGAUGAGAGUAAGAUCAUUGUCAUCAACUUUUACAUCUUCUCCAUCCAAGGAGGCCGAGUAAUCUUCAUCUUGAGAUGCUUUUAUAACGAUGCCCCUUUUCACUUUUGUAUCUUCUUCCUCCUGUAUUUUAGUCUUAAGAUUCAGUUCAUAAGAGGUUAGAGAAUUAAUAAGAGAUUCAAUAGGCAUAGAGUUCAAGUCUUUAGCCUCUUCAAUGGCAGUUACCUUACUAUCCUAAUCCUUGGACAAGACAUUCAAGAUUUUUCUGUUUUUCUCUUCUAAGGAGUAUUCCUUUUCUAACACUUCUAAGUUUUUAAUGAGAUCAUUGAAUUUAUAAUACAUUUUGUCAAUAUUUUCAUGAGAUUCCAUCUUAAAUGAUUCAUAUUUGGUGACUAAGAUAGAUUUUUUUUGUUCUCUCACAUUUUCACUUCUUUCAUGGAUUUCUCUCAGUUUGUUCCAAAUCUCUUUAGCAGACCUACAACCUUUGACCCUAAUGAAUUCAUUUGAAUCUAAAGCACUAUACAACACAUUCAUAACCUUGGCAUUCAAAGUGAGAUGGUUUCUAUCAUCACCAGUCAACUCAUUUUUUAUUUUUGGUCUUGGUCUAUGAGUGACUUCAUCUAUAAUAGUGGCAUCAUAUGAACCUUCAUUAAUAAUAAAUCACAGUUCAAUAUCAAUAGAUUACAAAAAAAUAAUCAUUCUUUCUUUCCAACUCACAUAAUUGGAUCCAUUAAACAUUGGGGGUUUAGUGACAGAUUGUUCUUCAAAAAAUAUGGCAUUGUUGGUUGUCAUUUUACUCCAAAACCGCUUGAGUUUAAUCUCUAGGAGACCAAUCUCUGAUACCAAUUGUAAGGAUCGAAUACAACCUAAGAGGGGGUGAAUUAGGUUAUUUAAAAACUAAUCAGGUUAUGAGAUACUUUUUGCUCAAUAUAAAAUUUACCCUCUUUUCUAGAUGACCACACAAUGAACAAUUAAUCAAGAAAGCAAGAUUGCUCAGAAGUAGAAGAGAUAAUCAAUUAAGAAUUACAAAACAGUAAAUAGUAGGGAAGGAAUAGCAAACCAAUUUACUUCCAAGCUCCUCUUGAGCUUAAGUAUCACUUUAUAGAACAAGUCUCUUCAGGUUGAUCAAAUACAAUCAAUCUUUGUGUAUAAAGGAAGAAUCACUUCCUCUUUACCCUAAGUUACACUUGGUCAAGUCAGAAAGUUUUACUAUCACUCGGAUAACCCUCACAAAGCUACACUAUUGAAAUAUUUUUCUCACACAAGAAGAGCUUACAUGAAAUUCACACAAACAAAAUUACAAAUCUUCUUGAAGAGUAUCUUCUCAACAAAACUACUCUAGAUCUUUUGUAUUUUCAAUGUGCAAAAGUUCUUUGAAAGUAUUUGAACAUGCACUAUUUAUAUGAGACCAAAAAGUGUUCCAUAAUGCUUCCAAUAGAUAGAAGGUAGCUGAAGAGUUUACUAACCAUUGGGAGUAUUGAACGUCUGGUCCAUCUGAAAUUCGCGUUCGACAGUAGCCAGUGAGCUUGAGGGAACUUCUCUAAUUCUAUCAGACGUCCAGUGUCUCUGAUAUUUGCAUCCGAAAGCAGAUGAUCAUUUUGAGAAGUUUUCUUCAGUUCUUUCGGACGUCCGGCACCUACUAUGCUUUUGCGUCUGAAGUUUGCAUACUUUAUCGGACGGCCGAUGCUCUGAUGCUUAGCGUUCGAACGAGGUCAGUGAAUUAGAGGGAAAGUGUUAAUUCCUUCGAACGUCCGGUGGUGGAGUUUUUUAUGUGUCCGAAGUUGCGCAAUGAUUAUCGAACGUCCGGUCCUGUCUUCACAAGGGUCCGACAGCUUUCAACAACUUUUGUUUCUUUCAAUUGCACUUAAUCUUUGAAUCUGAUUUGCACUUGAUCUGAAAGUAUAUCUUGAAGAGAUAUGAGUAUCAUCCAUUUGUUUUGUAAACAUCAAAAGUUAGGGAUUAAGAUUAACACUUUCCUUGACUCUGAUUACAAGAAAUGUUUGAUGAUUUCUACAAGGCAAAACUCAUUGAACUUUCUGAGAUGAAACGUCCUGAGGAAGCUGGCUAAGUCAUUGACCCGAAUUAUUGUUGUUAUCAUCAUUUUGUUGGUCAUUCUCUAACAAAAUGUUUUAUCUUUAAAGACAAAAUCAUGAAUUUAGUCCUUCUUGAAGAAGACAAGGUCUACAAACCAAAUCACAAUAAUGUUUGGUUCUUUGUGCUGUCCAAUAGAAGUCCCUCCUAGUCAAUUCUUUUCAAGCAAUAUUUCAUUUGCAAAGAAAGGGAUUAAAAAAUUAACAAGCCAAAAUGACAAUAAGGGAUGGACUCUCGUUAUUCAAAGAAAAAAUCACAAGCCGAAGGUAAGAAAAGCAUCUGUCCAACAAAGUUCAAAAUUAUGAAAAAAUAAAGCAUGAUGAAGAAAGCGAAAAAUGCUAUUAAAGUACCAAAUUUUCCAAAAGAUCCGCUGCUCCAAAAAACCCGUUAGCUUAUAAUAUUAAGAGAAUUUAUGCCUAAAAGAUAUUUAAAUGAUGAUAAUGACUAUACAUUUUAUAAUGUCACCAAAUCUGAAAAUUUUCAAAUGGCACAAAUGAAUGUUGAAUUAGAAAAAAAGAACUCAAAAUUGCUGUUGAAUACGCAACAACAACAAUUAUUUAUAAUGAUGAUCUUCUCCUUCGUUUCAAAUCCCAUAAUCACCCUUUAUUUGUGAGUAGGUAUGUCUGAGAACAAAAAAUAAAUAGAAUACUUAUCGACGGAGGAUCUGCUAUCAACAUUAGCUUUAAGUGCCAUGAAAGAAUUUAAAAUUUCAAGUGACGAAUUCUCCCAAAAUCGCCUCAUAAUUCAAGGGUUUAAUUAAGAAGGGCAAAGAGUAAUACAUCCCAUAAGAUUUGAAUUACUGAUUUGUGAACUAUCUUCAAGUACACUUUUCAUAGUAUUGACGUUAAAACUUCCUACAACAUGUUUUUGGGAAGACCGUAAAUUCACGAAAAUAGAAUUGUACCAUCUACUCUACAUCAAUAUUUUAAAUAUUCUUGUGAUGGCAUCAUCAAAAAAGUUGUUGCUGAUGAUAAAUCCUUCACUGAAGUCAAGACACAUUUUGUUGAUACCAAAUUUUAUCUCCAAGAUGAAGCAAGAAUAAAAGAAUAAGUGAAAAAAGAAAUUUAAAAGUCUAAAGCACCUAUUCUGCGUU
rnacentral:lncRNA from 1 species